rnacentral:lncRNA from 1 species
ACAAAUGCAAAAACAAAUAAGUUUCCAAGCUUUCCUUGGAAAAAACUUUAAGCAAACAUCACACAACAGUUAUGAAUAAACUGUGGGAGCUCAGCACCAACACACCAAUGUCUUAUUUCUUCCCAGUGCUGCUCUUCCACGUCUGGAGAAGGACAGCAUGAGUGAACUACUCUCUUCCUAUGCCAAGAGUGAGAAGUUCCAAUCACCAGAAGUCUGUCUCCCAUCGAUUUAAACGCAAUCCCCCAACCGAAGGCAGCGUUUGCGCUCACAGGGACAACACCAACUUUCUUCCAAAUAUUUGUGUUUAUAUCAUAUACCCGAAGCUCGUUCAAAGAUGUUUCUAACAUGUAUAGAUUGUCAUCAACCACAGCAAUAAGGGGCGGAGAUUGGAAAUGCGCAAUGACUGUCAUGUCUUUUAGCAUGUCAAGUAUCAACUCCCAAGAAUCUGUCGUCUCAUCAUAACUUUCUCUACAAGUGAGGUGUUUAUNNNNNNNNNNNNNNNNNNNNNNNNNNNNNNNNNNNNNNNNNNNNNNNNNNNNNNNNNNNNNNNNNNNNNNNNNNNNNNNNNNNNNNNNNNNNNNNNNNNNUAUUUUAUAAGUAAAUACAUAAUUAUAUCUAAAUAAUACAGCCAUAUUAUUUUAAUAAAAUUUUAUACAUAGUAGCAUAUAUUAUAUUAUUUAUUAAAUUUUAUCGAUAUAGAAUAUUUUUGGACAUUAUGGUAUUAAGUUUUCUGAUUUUUUUAUUAUUAAAUUAAAAUUUCAAAAUAUUUAAUUAUUUUUGAUUUUUGCAACAUAUUUUUUCUUGCAUUUCAUUUCAAAAUAUUAUACUCUAGCAUCUAUAAUUUUCUAUUUUGUAAAAUUUAGAAUAUAUUUAUUUUGAGUUUUGAAUAUUUAUUUUCAAAAUUGUACAUUUGGUCAAGAGAAAUUUAGAAAAUUACACAACUAGUUUUGAGUUUGAAAGAUUAUAUGACUUUUGAUUUUUUGUCACUAAAUUAAUUAAUAUUUUAUUGAAAAAUAUUUAAUUUUUUUUUAAAUAUUUUUUAUAUAUUUUUCUCAAAAUAUUUUUGUUAGAAUCAGCAUAAAAUUAUAUUUAUAAUUAAAAUGAUUUAUCAUUGAUAUCUUUAAUGAAUUAUUAAAAUUUCAAAGUUUUCUAAUAGCAUAUUUUGUAAAUAAUACCUGACCUAAAGGUUAGUUAUAUAUUAUUUAUUAUGUAUAUAAUAUUUUUAGAUAAUAUAUUGUUAUGAGUUUUAAAAUAAACAAAAUAAGUUUAACAUAUAUUAAUAAUGUUAUUUUUUAUAAAUAUUAAAUAUUUUACGAAUUUAAAUCCGUUUUCAACGUAAAUUAUAAUUUAUUUAAAUAAAAUCAUUUAUAAAAUAAAAUAGGUUAAUUCAUCAAUUUAAUAUAACUUUAUAAUAUUUAAUUCAUAUAGGAUUUUUAUUUUAAUCUAAUAUAGACUAUAAUUAUAAAUUUUAUAAAAAUAUCAUAGAUUUUUUUAAAUAAAAUUUGAAUUAACAUUAAUUUAUGAUAAUAUUAUAUUACUAACUAAGUAAUUAAGUAAUUAUGAAAUAAAUUGAUGCAUUAUUUUAUUAAAAUAUUUAAAAAAUAGUAAAAUUUUGCUAGAUUUUGUUUUCAACAGUUUUUGUUAUAACUAAAAAUAAAAUUUAAAUUUAUGAUUAAAAUUGAUUUAUUAUUAAUAUCAUUAUUAAGGUUUUCUAAAAAUAUAAUAUAUUCUAUUGAUUAAUGUAAAUUAUCAAAUAAAUCAUAUUAAAUAACUAAUUAAUAUUUAACCACACAACUUAAGGUAACAAGAAUUACAUUAUAUCCAUAAAUAAUACAAAAAGUGUCAAGCAGAUGGUAUUACUAUGGAUUUUAUGGUCAGAAAGUAUCAAAGUACUCCGGUAUCAGUUAAUGUCAAAAUUAUAAAUAAUCCAAUGGUGUUACAAUAAUCAACACAUGUUUUGGUGCAUAUAAAUAGAGAAAUACACAUAUGUAUAUUGUGUACAUUGAUAACCCAGAACAUAUGUUUUCUGGCCAAAUAGGUUAUUUUUGACAGUAAAUAAAACAAAUGAGUUCUUGUUUGAAACAAAUUCAAGAUCUUUAAUUUUGAAAAGCUCAAGAGCAAUGUCUAUGGAUUACUACAUAGUACUAAUUACUAACUAAUAUUAUAAAUUAUAACAUUGGACUUCUCAUAUCCGUAGCUCGUAGUUUCAAAACAAACAAAAACGUAUAAUCUAUUUAUAUAUUUAGUCAUACACACAGAUAAGACUAAGAGUGGAAAACAUAUAUUAAACGGUUCUCACAAGUCACAACUAGUGGAGGGUCAACAUCAUAAUUUUCCAUUCAACAAAAUUAUUUAUCUAGUUACACUUAACGGAGGAGACACCAUAAACAGUAAGACAGUUCUUUAUUAUGAAGAAAAGUAAGAACCACAGGUGAUCAAAGAACGUUAUUUUAAAUUCAAUUAUAAAUUAAUAUAUACUAUACAUUCAACUAAAAACUAAAAUUCAACUAUGAAUUAAUAUAUACUAUAUAUCUUAUUAUUUGACAUUAUACUUUAUUUUCUUGAAAAUGUGUAAUUUUCUUUCAGAGAAAAAUAAAAUAUUAAAAAUUGAUUAUUUAUAAUUAUUUUAAAGCAUAAUAUAUAUAUAUAUAUAAUUUUAAAGCUAAAAUAUUAUAUAUGUGUUUAAAUUAUUUUUAUUAUAUUUUGAAAAGUAUUUAUACUUAUUGAAAUUAUUUUUCAUUUAUAAAGUAUUUUUAAAAUAACUCUUUUUAAUUAUGAAAAUAAAUAACAAUAUAAAAUUUUAUGUAAAUUAUUUUAAAUUUAUACAGUAAUUUAAACCAUUUUUUUAUCUAUUUCCACCAUUCAAACAUAACUUUUGAACCACUAGAUCAGCUUGUACACAUUUGAUAUGCUAGAUCCGCUUGAUCCGAUAUAUCUGCUUGAUAUGAUAGAUCCGCAAUGUUUCAUCAGAUUUUCCCAUUCCGAGCCUAAAUCAGUCAUGGAGGAGACGAGACAGUUACGUUAUUGAAGACGUUGCAUUUAAACCAGGAUGUGUGUUUGUAUCUACCUUUUUUUUUUUAUAUAAUCCAGGGUUCCCCGAUUCGUGGGUCAUUCCAUGGGCCUGGUCAUCCGGGAGGGCAUUCUCUGAGCCCGAAGGCCCAGUACCCGCUUUUGUGACAGGGAUGAGCAGUUCGCCUCCGGCUAGCGUCGAACCCGGAAGCAUGACAGUUGGCCCAAGACUCUAAACAGUAGAGCUGACUAAUCCCGUCGAACCAAACCAGUAGAGCUCUAAUUAGUUUGUAUCUACCUUCCAUUUAUUAGAAACCAUUUUAACUAACUUAUCCUUGAAAGCACCUAUUUCGUCUUGUGCAUACUCACCACCAAUUUUGUAAUCAUGAUUCGUAUAUUCUGAACUCUCAAGUUUACAUGUCAUACCUAGAAAUUUAUAGCAAAUUGAAUAAUUAAUGUUGGCACGACGGAUAGUACACGCAUGCAUAAUGUGAACCCAAACCUAAUUGUUCGUCCUCAUCCCCAACAUGAAAAUGACUCAUUAAAUAUUCAUUGUUAAUAAAUACUAAUACAUGAGUAAUUUCAUCACAUGAUUUUUCAAUAACAUAUAUUAGGCGGAUUUGAGUAUUGAUUGUAAUACACCGAUUACAAAAAGUUACACAUUAUAGGCUACAUGAUAUUAUUGUACAGUUGUACGUGAUAUAAGUAUCUCUUUAUGACUAAACAAAAAACAAAAUGUAAUUUUACGAAUAUAACCGUUGAAAGUCUUCUGGCGGCUUUGUAAGUCUUAUGGAAGAAAAAUUUAAUAUUAUAGAUCUUAAAAAUAAUUUAUAAAUUUUAAUAAAAAUAUUUUGAUGGAGGAAAAAUUAAAAUCAUGUAAUUAUAAACAUUUGUAAAUGAUAUAAAUUAAGAUAUAGUAAAAUUGAAAAGUUUUCAACACAGAUAAGUGAGUGUAAUAAGUCAUAGUAUUCUUUGGUCUAGGGUUUGGUAACAUAUGUUGUAGUAUUCUUUGUAUAUUUAGGGUUAGAUUUUGGAAGCUUGACAUUUUUUUUUUUGGAAAAUUAAAAUUUGACCUAUAAGUGUUUAGUUUCAUGUAUAUAUUACACUUUCAAAGUUUAUUUUAAGUUUAGUGAAGUGUUUUUUUUUCUAUUUAUUUAGUUAUUUAAGUUUAUGACAUAAAUUUAUGGUCUAUAAGAUUUCCUGGAAGUUUUCUGGACGAGUAGUAUAUUUAGAGGUAUAAGACUUCCACGAAGUCAUCUAAUAGAAGACUUUCCUGAAAGUCUUCUGAAUCGAAAAUAUUUAACCUAAAUAUAAAUUUUUGUCCCCGUAUAUAAAGAAAAUGUACACAUUCUAUCUUUUCUUCUCAAACGGCUGCAACAAAAAAUGUAAUGAUUAUCAUUAAAACUCUCCAACUUCUCUCUAAUCUUUUUGAACUUGAAAACAUCAAAUUUAUAUGAAUUUUUCAUUUUUUUUGUUUCAUCUCACUAAAUUAUCUUGUUUUUGCAGAUUUUUUAUUACAUGGCUCUCAUCUUUCACUCCUUUAAAAGGUUAUCUAUAAAUUUUGGAUAUCAAUUUUUGUGUCAUAUAAAGGUAGAUAUAUCUAAUCUUUCACUCAUUUUCUCAUUUUGAAUCCAUUUGAACGUUUUUGGAUAUACAGGUUUUCAGAUCUCGAUUUCGAUAUGCAGGUUUUUCAGAUUUGAAUCAGAUUUUAGAAGACUUCCCAGAAGUCUUCUCAGAAGUCUUCUAAAAUAUUAUGCGCUAGAAGUCUUCUGACGGAGUCUUCUUCCAUGUCUCCUCUUUCAUAAAAGAUAUGAGCGUUUUGGUAAAUUUUCCAGUCUGAUUUUUUUUUUCAUUUGGUAACCAUUUGUCAAUUUGAACUUAAAAACACCAAACUUUUUAUCAAUUUUUUCAUUUUUUUGUCUCAUGGCUUUCUCACUAAUUUAUCUUGUUUUUGCAGAUUUUUUAUCACAUGAUUCUCAUAUUCCACUCAUUUUCUUUAUUUUUAAGCCAUUAAAACGUUUUUGGAUGUGCAGGUUUUUCAGAUCUAGGCUUGGAUAUGCAUGUUUUUCAGAUUUGGAUCCCACUCUGGAAGACUUCUGGGAAGUUUUCUCGAAAGUCUUUUAAAAUAUAAUGCACCCGAAUACUUUCAGGAAGUCUUCUGACUUCAUGGAAGACUUCUAACGGAGUCUUCUCUCAUGUCUCAAUUUUCAUAACAGAUUUAAGCGUUUUGGUAAGUCUCCAUGUCUGAUUUUUCUUUAUUAGGUAACCUUUUGUUGCAUAAAGCUCUUAUCUUUUUAUCAAACUAAAACUCUCCAACCUCUUUCUAAUCUCUUUGUACUUGAAAACACCAAACUUUAUAUCAAUUUUUUAUUUUUUGUCACAUGUCUUUCUCACUAAUUAUUUUGUUCUUGCAGGUUUUUUAUUACAUGGUUCUCAUAUUCCACUCCUUUAAAGGUAGAUCUAUAAAUGUUAGAUAUUUAUUUUGUGUGUUCUAUAAAGACAGAUGUAUCUAAUUUUCCACUAAUUUUCUCUGUUUUGAAGCCAUUUGAACGUUUUUGGAUAUACAGGUUUUUCAGAUCUGAGUCAGAUUUUGGAAGUCUUCUUAGAAGUCUUCUAAAAUAUAAUUCCCUAGAAGUCUUCUGACAGAGUCUUCUAAAACAUAAUUUCUUAGAAGACUUUUUGGAAGUCUUCUGACAGAGUCUUCUCCCAUGUCAAGUGGAGUCCAAACUUAUCUUUGUGGAUGAAUAAUCUCUAACUUCAUGUGUAAUAAUUUUAUUUAUGGCUUAUUUUGUGAUUUAUGUGUGUACUCUUAUAGUUGUAAAUUCUUUUGUAAAUUUAAAGAGAUAUUAAUGAACUUUUUAGUAAAUAUGUUCAUGUUUACAAUAUUUUCUUGCCAAAAAUACUUGAAUUUAUUGAAGUUAUUGAUACAACUUCAAUAACAAAACAAAAUAACACAAAACUUUAAUCAAAUUUACUAAAACUAAGGGAUAAGAUUUAUAAUUCACAAAAUAUCAAAGAUUACUUAAGUUCAAACAUAUAACACUUUCAUUAGAAGUUUUUUGGAAAGUGAUAUCACUCAAAUUACCCUAAGAAGUGAUUUAUACUCUCUCAAAUAAGAGGUCAAGUUGUAGUACUUAGGGAUCGAAUCCACAGGGAGCUAGGGAACACAAAAGAUCUAAUAGUUAUACGAUUAAGCUAGGCUAAUAGUUUAUAAAGUAGUAAAUAUAGAUAGCAAAACAGUAACACUACAAGAAAACAUAAUCUUAACGAGGGCGAUUUUCCUCGUGAGUUCGUCGUAAAAGAGGCUUUACGACGAAUUAGCGAGGAACCACAUUUGCUCGUUACUCAUCCGUCGUAACACAUAUUUCCUCGCUAAUUCGUCGUAACUUAGCGAGGAAUAUAUUUCGUCGUAAAGACGAAGUAGAUCAUUUCGUCGUAAAGACCACGUCAAUAUUCCACGUAAGGAAGUCGCUAUAUUUCCUCGUAAAUACCUCGAAACGAGUUCCUCGUAAACUACUCGUAAAUACCUUGAAAGUGUUUCCUCGCAAAAUACACGUAACGACCACGAAAGUAUUUCCUCGUAAAAUACUCGUUUAUCUUUCCUCGUUAUUUCCUCGUAAAUGUUUUCUCGUAAAAUACUCGUUUAUUAUUUCUCGUCAUUUCCUCGUAAGNNNNNNNNNNNNNNNNNNNNNNNNNNNNNNNNNNNNNNNNNNNNNNNNNNNNNNNNNNNNNNNNNNNNNNNNNNNNNNNNNNNNNNNNNNNNNNNNNNNNNNNNNNNNNNNNNNNNNNNNNNNNNNNNNNNNNNNNNNNNNNNNNNNNNNNNNNNNNNNNNNNNNNNNNNNNNNNNNNNNNNNNNNNNNNNNNNNNNNNNNNNNNNNNNNNNNNNNNNNNNNNNNNNNNNNNNNNNNNNNNNNNNNNNNNNNNNNNNNNNNNNNNNNNNNNNNNNNNNNNNNNNNNNNNNNNNNNNNNNNNNNNNNNNNNNNNNNNNNNNNNNNNNNNNNNNNNNNNNNNNNNNNNNNNNNNNNNNNNNNNNNNNNNNNNNNNNNNNNNNNNNNNNNNNNNNNNNNNNNNNNNNNNNNNNNNNNNNNNNNNNNNNNNNNNNNNNNNNNNNNNNNNNNNNNNNNNNNNNNNNNNNNNNNNNNNNNNNNNNNNNNNNNNNNNNNNNNNNNNNNNNNNNNNNNNNNNNNNNNNNNNNNNNNNNNNNNNNNNNNNNNNNNNNNNNNNNNNNNNNNNNNNNNNNNNNNNNNNNNNNNNNNNNNNNNNNNNNNNNNNNNNNNNNNNNNNNNNNNNNNNNNNNNNNNNNNNNNNNNNNNNNNNNNNNNNNNNNNNNNNNNNNNNNNNNNNNNNNNNNNNNNNNNNNNNNNNNNNNNNNNNNNNNNNNNNNNNNNNNNNNNNNNNNNNNNNNNNNNNNNNNNNNNNNNNNNNNNNNNNNNNNNNNNNNNNNNNNNNNNNNNNNNNNNNNNNNNNNNNNNNNNNNNNNNNNNNNNNNNNNNNNNNNNNNNNNNNNNNNNNNNNNNNNNNNNNNNNNNNNNNNNNNNNNNNNNNNNNNNNNNNNNNNNNNNNNNNNNNNNNNNNNNNNNNNNNNNNNNNNNNNNNNNNNNNNNNNNNNNNNNNNNNNNNNNNNNNNNNNNNNNNNNNNNNNNNNNNNNNNNNNNNNNNNNNNNNNNNNNNNNNNNNNNNNNNNNNNNNNNNNNNNNNNNNNNNNNNNNNNNNNNNNNNNNNNNNNNNNNNNNNNNNNNNNNNNNNNNNNNNNNNNNNNNNNNNNNNNNNNNNNNNNNNNNNNNNNNNNNNNNNNNNNNNNNNNNNNNNNNNNNNNNNNNNNNNNNNNNNNNNNNNNNNNNNNNNNNNNNNNNNNNNNNNNNNNNNNNNNNNNNNNNNNNNNNNNNNNNNNNNNNNNNNNNNNNNNNNNNNNNNNNNNNNNNNNNNNNNNNNNNNNNNNNNNNNGUGUUGAAUCUGCUUGAUGCAUAAAUGUCUCCAGACCCGCAAGGUAUUCUUUCGUCACUCUCCCGUUAGCAUCUCUAUGCAUAUACAUCCACUUGCGCAACUCGUAAAUAGUCCCGUAGCCAGCCAUUUUUUUUUCUUUCACGUUUUUUGUUGUUGGUGUGUUUAAAAUGAUGUUCAAACAUCCAUAUUUAUAGGAAAUUUCGAAUCUGAUAGUUGUAAUUUUCCUAUGAAUUUACGACGAAAAUUAAUUAGGUGGCAAAAAAAAAGCGUGUAACACCUACAAAGUUGGUGGAUUCAAAAUUUCCUCGCUAAAUACACGUAAACUAUUUCCUCGUAAAUAACACGCAAAGUUUACGUCGUAUUUACGAGAAAAUAGUUUUUCCUCGUAAAAUACUCGUCAAAUUACAUCCACUUUACGACGAAACACUUUUGUCGUUACGUUACGAGGAAAUAACGAUGACUUUAGUUUUCCACGUAAGUUCCUCGUAAAAUCGACGUAAAUUUUCGAGGAUUGUUUUUUCUCGUUAAAUUUCCUCGUUAAGCAUGUGUUUUCUUGUAGUGUAAGCAGUAAACAAGUUGAACAAGACUAUUGUUCAGCUUGGCAAAGAUUUGUUUGAUGGAAUGAUGGUUUGCUAGAUCUAGGGUUUCGAUUCAGCUAAUCAGGAUUAUAAUGAUAUAGAGGCUAAUUGUUGCUUGUAAGAUAUUAUAGAACUCAAACAAUAACAAUAAUCUACCAGCUCUCCCAUGUCUAGAUUAUCUAUCACUAGAUAUAAGAUCUUAUCUCUCGCAUGUUGAUUUGUAGAAAGUGUCGAUCGAUUAUUCUGUAGGAAUAUCAAUCGAUACACCUUUCACAAUAUCGAUCGAUUAAUUUCUGUAGGAAUAUCAAUCGAUACACCUUUCACAAUAUCGAUCGAUUAAUAUAUUGGAUCAUCGAUCGAUAUUGCUUCUAGCAAGCUUUACGAUCGGGUUGAAUAUGUGUUCACUAAGAUUCCUAAAUCAACUCUCGGAUGUUUCUAGCAAUCCUAGCUCAAUAGAAUUCAGUUCAGAGAAAAGACCAAGCGAUGGCAUUGUGCCUAAUGAUUCUAAGAUCAGGGUUCUAGUUCAUGACUCUAGAACAAACCUAUGAUGAAUAUCACAACUUACCAGUUCUAUAUUUUGGGUCAAUCCCUCAUAGCCUAUCUGAACCCUAAACCUAACAGGUGGAUCUAUUCAGACAUGAAGUUUGUCACAAAAAUCAUGGAUAGAAUAGAUGAAAUUGCAAUAGAUAUAAAAACCAAAGACAAUGGAGUUCCAGGAGGACUCUGAAGGAGAGGACUCUGAAGGAGUUCCUCCUUUCUCUCCUAACUAAGAACAAUGAAAUAAAGAAAGCUUAGAUAGUGUAGCCAUCAACAAUGGCUUAUAAAUAACUUAAAUAGAGUUUUUGGUCGUCAAAGGGUAUUUUGGUAACUUGGUGUGGCUUUUGGGCUUCAAACGGUCUUGAAAUACGCUUGACCCACGUUCUGGCAUCACUGUCGAUCGACACCAAUGCUGUGUUAUCGAUAGACAGUCCUUUAUCUUCUCGACAGCUUCCUCUUGCGAGGCAGACUGACCACUCUUCAGUAAAACAUGCAUAACUUCUGCUACAGGAUGCCGAUUGACCUCAAACCGGUAGUAUUGGAAAGCUAACUCAAAGCUCUAUCUUGUGUCAAAAGAUGGGCUCAAGCUAACGGUGGGAAUGUCUCUAUCCAUAGCUAAACAUCUGAUGCGUCUGUGCAAUUCUGCACAUAAAAAGACUCCAAAAUCACCAUAUUUCUCCAGAACGUACCUGAACCUGUAAAUACUCUAAAUAGACUCUAUAUAGUAGUAUAUAUAUAUUAAAACACUUAUAGACCAUGGCUGAAAGUGAGUAAAAUCCAUGGUCUAUCAACUCCUCCAGACUUAUCGUUUUGCUUGUCCUCAAGCAAAACACACAGGUAAUCUCUCUGAAAGAGGUUUGAAAACAGCAGGGACUCACAUGAUUUAAAAAACUUAGAAUCAUCACCUCUACAAUAUUGCAAUCCACAUCUGAGAAGUCCUAAUCACAAAAGCACAUUAUACCAUAUCCUAGCUUAACAACCAAAUUCACCUAGCCAACAACUUAGCAAAUCAUGUCUGACAUUCCCCUCUACGAACCUCAUUUCUUAACAUAAAUAAAAGUGCAGGCUUUACCUUGGGAGUAUUGAUCACAUAAUGCAAGGAUUUUCAAACAAGUAUCUGGAUCUGCAGGUAAAAGUUAGUUCAUAUCUUUUCUCUCUACUAAUUUCUCUCUUUAGUCAAAAUCUGCUUAUAUUGCAAGAUCAUUGACCAAGAUUGGACAGGCUUCCAUGAAUCAAGCCUUAAUGGUGGUUGCCACCAAGUCAUGUUCACUUCUUUUUGACCUAUAUCCAAGAAUUUAUGUGAAUCGAACCUUGAUGAUUGCCGCCACCAAGUCCCGUUCGAAUUCUUUUUGUUGGAAUCCUUAUGAAGCAAGCCUUAAUGAUUGUAGCCACCAAGUCCUGUUCGGAUUCCAGCUAACUAACACCUAUUAUAUAUAUAUAUUUUUUCUUUUUCUUUUUCUUUCUUUCUUUUUCGUUUUUUUUUUUGAAAAUAAAUAUCUCUACCUAUAAAUCUAGGGUCGAAAUAGAGAGAGAAAAUGUGAUAAAUCUACACAAGGCUUUACCUUCCAGAUUUGUUUUAAGAAUCCGAUCCCAUGUAUACCAAGCCCCAAGACAAGCAGUUGUGUCAGGUUUAGUGUUGGAGGUCAGCUUUGGUUCCUUCAAACAAUCUCAGCAAGUGUGAAUAGUUGACAGAUUGAUCUACUUUAGUAUCUUUAGUACUAUCUACAAUCAAUAAAUCUAGAAUGGUGCUAAAGAGUGGUUAAAUAACAAGCAAAAAUCAAAUAAGUUCAUUAUCCCCUUCUUGACUCAAUAAAACUCUUUUGAAAACAUUUUUAUAAGACUCAUGAACACACUAAUAUCAGUAAACAUCCCCCAGACUAAAAUUACACUGUCCCCGGUGUAUAUCUAGUCGGAGUUAUGGUGAGAAAUAAUCAUAAGUAAAUAAUUUAACAAGUAAAAACGAUGAUCUGCUCAGUGUCGAUCGACACAAUGAAGUGACAAUCGAUCAUUGUUGAUGAAGUGCUGUCGAGUGAUAGCGACAUGGUCUCAUUGGUCGAUGGCUAGAGCAAUCAUUCGACACAAUGAAGAGAUAAUCGAUCGUUGGAUCUGAAGUGCUGUCGAUCGAUAUGCUGAGGAAUCGUCUACUCAGAUCUUUUUUUUUUGGUUUUUUUUUUCUAAAUAGCUAACUAAAACACAAUAUUAGUAGAACCUCCCCCAGACUUAAACAACAUUGUGAUCAGUGUUAUACAGUCUAAGAUUGGUGGGGAAAUAAACCAUAAUGACAAUAUUUAACAAGGUGAAACGUUAUGCCUGAUCGCUGAUGGUGAGCGUCGAUCGACACAGUUAAGUGGCGAUCGAUCGAUAUUCGUGAUGCUCUGUCGACCGACAAUGGCAUGUCGUUGUCGAUCGCUUCUGGUCUCUUCUUCCUUGGAUCUUUUUCCUUUUACCUAUCAUAAACAAAACACUAAAAGUCAGUAAAAGAUAACUAAUAAAACAUAAAUUUUUUUUUCGAUGAACAGUGUUCUGCUGCAGUAACACUGCUACAGUAACUCCCGGUUUUCUGCUACAGUGUCGAUCGAUUUCCUUGCUACAGUGUCGAUCGAUGCUACAAUGCUUCUGCUAUAGUGCGGUUGCUACAGUAUCGUCAUUACUGUUCAUUUUUUUACCUGCAUCUAACACUAUUAAAAGGAGAAUAACAAGCCUCAUGAGCUAUGCCACCUAGGAUCAGAAAAUCGUCCAAUCAGAGCACUCUUUUUUGACACGUCAUAAUGGCUUUCGUAUGGCUCUAUUGACACUUUAGUAUUGGCUCUAUUCAGAUUAUCAUUAGGCCCAAAUCUGUUUCUCCCAGCGUCUAUAGUCUCUCCACCCCCACCCCCUCGACUCUUCCACUUCAUCUUCUCGCCGCCGCCACCGUCAUCAGACGCCAUCGAUCCAGCGCCUCUGCUUCUGAGCGGCGACGAGAACGAGGGAAGCAACAGCAACGGAGGAGGAGAGCAACGGAGAUCAUCAUCCAUGAGGAGACCAGUGCUGAGGGAAGCCGCGAGGCUGCUGAGCCGAGCGAGCAGCUGCGGAGGGCGGCGAUGCGGGAGCCGUCUAUGGUCGUGAGGGAGGCCAUCGUGGAGAGGCAGAGCGAUUGGGGCUACUCGAGGAGAGGCAGAACGAUUGGGGCUACUCGAAGCCCAUCGUGGUGCUGGACAUCGUGUGGAACCUGGCAUUUGUCUCGGUGGCUGGGGCUAUUAUGGUGAUGGCAAGGAAUGAGCAUCCGAUCAUGCCGCCUAGGGUUUGGCUCUUGGGGUAUGCGUUGCAGUGUGUGUUGCAUAUGGUUUGUGUGUUGGUUGAGUAUAGGAGGAGGAAUAGGGUGAAGAAUAAUAGGACUCCGAGAUCACAUUCAUCGAGGAAGAUGCUUUGGGUUCGAGGAGGAAUUCACAUGAGGAGGUCUUGAUUGAAAUUAGUAUCUUUAAUUGUGUGAUCCAUCUCCCCUUGAUACUUCUCUUAUAUAAAGCUCUAUCUCUUAACCUAAAUCCAUCCUAAAUCAAAAAAACCUAAUCUGUAAAAACUACACCCAUGGUUUGGUACAAACGUAAUCUCACCCAAAUCUCAUCGCUCCCCUCACUUAUUUUCUAACUUUUUAUAUUUAGCUUUCAAAACACAUGUGACUAGAACCGUAGCCAUUCAGUUAACCGAGCUAACCAGCUUCGUCCAGGUACAGACACGAAUCUGAACCUCCGAAACCUAGGAAGAUGAAGAAUGACUUACCAAGAAUUAAGAUCGUCUGUUAAACAAAAAUUGCAGUAAGCUCUUUUCUCGGAUCUUGCAAUUGUUACAUUGAUAUUUUCUCACCGUUUGCAAUUCUCUCACGAUUACCCAGAUUGUUAUCAAUGUGAGGUCCUUUUAUAAAUCACGAUUCAAUUGAGUACGUGUGCUGAGUGACAGGCUGAUCAAGAUGGACAGCCCCGUAAACUUCAUCCUUUCAUUACUCACAGUUGUAAAAACCCUUACAACUUUCUUUGAGAAGAAUGGUGAACUCCUCUCUCCUUCUUUCUGAUUUCAAGGUUGGGCGUUUAAGUAACUUUUUGAUUACCAUCGUGUUCAGCCAUCAAAUUUUGUGUUUGUUAAUGGUGAGUUUCAGAUAUUGAUUUUGUGACAGAACCCAAGCAUAUCAUGAUUGAAUUCUUAUCUGUUUGAAAUUCUUGCAGACAACGAUUUUGAUAUUUGGAAGUUCCAGUUAAGAAAAAUAUUAAAAAUUCCCAAAGAGUAAGAAUUGAUCUCUAUGAUUUGCUAUGGAAGAGUUGACAUUGUUCUUUGAAUUGAUUUCUGGGUUGUUCUUAGUUUUGUUUAUGUUUCUUCUUGGUGUUGGUCCAAUGUGAUUGAAGAAACAACUUGAUUAUGUUCUUCACACUGCAGUGGCACUUGAAUCUUCUUAUGUCUGUGUAAAAAUCACACCUUUAAGCUAAGGAAGAGAAAGGACUGAAAACAGGUGCUUUGUGUUAUAAUCAGAGUGUUGGUUUGAAAUCCCGGGAUGUUUUGGCUACAAUCAUACACUACUAUUGUGAUCAGAGUUUUUUUUUGUUUGAUAAAAAUUGUGAUCAGUGUUUUUAUAACUAAAAUGAAAAAUUAGCUUUUUAUUCACAUAAGCUUUGACGAUUCAAUAGACCUCAUUGUGGCGAAGGAACGGCCGGUGCACGGCUUUAAAGGUUCGAUGCAUCUUCCGACUAAAAAAGCCGUCGUCUUCAACACCAUAAGCAAGACAAGGCAUGGGUGGAGAACAAUGAUGUCGUAGUCAACGUUAACGAAGACGAAUCCUCGGAGAUAAGACUCUGUUAGGUUCCUCAGGCUAUCGCUAAUGUGAGCACCGUAACAUUUCUGUCAUUAUGUUUAACGGCAGCGAGAAUUCAUUAACAUCCGUUAUGUGGUGUUUUAAAUAGCCGGACCUUCUUGACAAAGAUCAUGCAGAAGAUAAUUAACAUCACAUACAAAAAAAAUCAAACCUUUCUGCUUAUUCACAUUAAAUUUAUUAUAUCUUCUUUCAUAGUAUGCAAUUCGAAAAUUGAAUACAAAAUAUUAACUGGGUAGAUGUCAAUGAUCGAAAUGAUCAAACAAAAGUUUCGAAAACGUGUGACCUCGCAUGUACCAACACAUCAGGAUGAGAAUUAUGAACCAACAGCCUGAAUAAAAUAAUGAAGAAUAACCACAAAAAUUAUUUUUAUAACUUUUAAAGAAACAUUACCGUUUUGACUCUAAAUUCAAACUCUAUUGAAGAAGAAGAGAAACUGAUACGUGGUUUAGGAGAAGGGGACAAAGAUGAUGAAAAUGAAGAGUGAUCGAUGUAAUCUUAUUCUUCUUCGUUGAUUGAAUAUGAAAACCCUGCAUUGUCUUUAUAAGAUUUUCGUAUUAAUUUUUCUUUUGGUAAAAUGUUAAGAUAAUCUUCUUAUUAAUUCUUAGGGUUUCAGGAACCAGAGAUGACACAAGCUCAAAAACUUUAAUCAAUUUAAUUGACACGAGCGUUAUAUUUUGUGAAGUUAACUCACAAAUCACAAUUUUCUAACAAAGAAUACUUACUAUCAGAAUUGAGAUAAAAAAUAUUGAAAAAUAUGUAACAAUACUAAACUUUUCACCAACGCAGAAGCAACAAGGAAACAGAAGAGUAAAAACAAAGUUGUGCUAUUGCUUUCCCUCAUUUCCUUGCUCUCCUGUGAAAACGUAGAAAUACUUUUCGAAUGUGUUUUUUGUUAGUCUCUGUAAAAUGCAUGUUUCAGUUCAAAAAUGUGCAUAGUGUAAACGUCAGAUAUUGGCAUUUGCUGUUUUAAAUCAGUACGGUAUAUAUGCAGUAAAAAUGUUUUCAUAAAAAUGGUGUAGAUCAUUUUCCCCACGUCAAAAGACUGUUAUGUCCAAUUUGGAAUAUACUUUCAACAAUUUGCAAUAUAACAAAAGGGUAUAUACCAUUUCUGUUUUUUUUUUAAAUUAUACCAUUUUUAUUUCAGAAGUGGGUUUUAUUUAAUUCGCACUCAGUAGUAUUAAAUAUAUGAAAUUGAUUCAGUUUACCGACUUAGCAAGGCUGUAUUUUCUCAUUUUUUUGGAUUAUGACACUGUUUUUACUUUUGCCUUAUAUACCAACAAAAUAGUUUUGUUAAGUUGCAAAGAAAAUUUGAUUGAAAAUUUAUACUAUUCGAGCCAUCAUCAUUAAACAAUUUAAUUGAGUUUUCACAUUUUAAUAUUGAGACAAAAAAAGUUUUAACAUUCUCAAUAACCUUUUGCACCAAAUUUAUAUGUUUAAGAAUAAGGUCCUUUUAGCUAUAAAAUACUAUAGUGAGUUAGUAACACUUCUUUCACGAUUAUCAUCAUCAUACUGAGAGAUACGUUUAGAAGAGGAAGUAUAGUAGAACCUCUAUAAAUUAAUAAUGUUGGGAAUUUAAAUUUUUAUUAAGUUAUAGAAAUAUUAAUUUACAAAAGUUUUCGUUUUUGGAUUUUUUUUCUAUUUUUCUAUUUUAUUAAUAAAAUAAGAAAAUAUUUUAUUUUUACCGUAUAUAAAUUAUUUAAAUUUUAUAAAUUUAACAUUCAUAUUAUUUUAUUAUCUUAUUUGGUGUAUAUUUUAUGUUUCAUCGAAUUGUUAUGUGAUUUUUGAUAUAUUUUUACUAAAUAUUAUCAAAAUAUAUUAAAAUAUUAAGAAAACUAGAAGUAUUUUCAUUGUGAAUAUAAAACCAACAAUAUAAUGUUUAGUUUGUACUUAUAUAAAACAUAUAGAGAUAGAUUAGCAAUUUAUGAUUUUAAUGGGACUUUAUAUUUACAUGAGAGUUUUAAAAAUAUUAUUAUCUUAUUAUUUUAUCUAUUUGUGUCAUAUUUUACAUUGGCCCAAGUUGGGACCGACAAAAUUUAUUAAUUUAUAGAGAUUAUUAAUUUAUCGAGUAUUACUUUAUAAUAUAGAGGUUCUACUGUAAGAUGAUGAUUGCAUAUGUUUAAAACACAAUAAAUUCCACCACAAUUCACAACUUUUAGGUUUUCAAGAACGAUGGCAAAGACACAAAUGCAAAGAAGGUUAAGUUCUUAAAAUUCAUGUGUUUGAUGGUCAUAUAGCCAAACAAUAAUAUUUAAUAUCAACAGAAUAACACAAAGAUAUGAUUAAACUUAGAGGAAUAAUUAACUGCACACUAAUAUUUAUAUGUCAUACUGUACUAAAAAGAUUAUUUUCAAAUAAUAAAAUACAUCUAUUGUGUUAAAUUUAUAUUAAUGAACAACCUCUAAAAUAAAAAGGUUAAGACAUUCUAAAUAAAAUAAAGAAACAUAGCAAAAUGAUAAAAUAAAAGCAAUAUAACAAAAUAUAUUUUCAUAAUUAUAAUUCAUGUUAUGUUAUAUAUUAUUAUUUUUUUAAGUUAAUUCAAUAUUGCAAUACCAAACAUAUUCAAAAUGGUUUCAGUCUUAAAACCGGCAUUCCACAAUUGAUUUCAAAUCGAUGACAUAAACUUAGCAUGAUAUUAUAAGUGUGUUAUUGGAAAGAAGAAAUUUUAUAUAAAUUUAUUUAUAACAAUUUUUAUUUUUUAUUCAAACUUGUAUACAAACAAAAUAAUUCCAAAAUAACUAUCUUACAGGCUACCAUUAUAAUUCAAAAUGAGUUUAAAAAUUAAAAUAAUUCUACAAAAAUGAGUUUAAAAAUCAAAAUAAUUCUACAAAAUGAGUUUAACUAUCUUACAUGCUAUCAUUAUACAACAUACAUUUGUAAAAAUUUAAAGGCAUUUAUCCGCGCGUAGCGCGAAAAAUGAUCUAGUAAAAAUAAAACAAAAAUCAGUAACAAUCUAGCAUAAACUGAAUGAAAUUACCUAAUAGUGAGUUGCCUCCCACUUAGCGCUUUGUUAUAGUCAUUUAGCUUGACUUUGGAGAUCUGAUUGAGUCUGGAUGAGGAUGAGAACUCGCUCCAAAACAAGUCUCAGUUUCUACUCUCUGAAGCUUUAUCAUUCUUGUGUGAAAGCCUCCUCCAUAGUCUCUUCUCCUUUGUCUAUCAUUUCAGCAAUAAGGAGUGCUCGAACCUUUGCAAAUGGCUUUGAGAAGCAUCUGCUGCGCACUCUAGAUUUCCUGAAACCAUCUGAGAAGUGAGGAAUCAAUGAUAACUGAGAAUCACUUAUGAUCCUUUUUCUCUUCUUCCAAUUCCUCCUCUUCUUUUCCCCAGACUUGUCUGAUCGCGUGGUGGUAUCUCCAUCCCUAAUAUUUCCACACACAUCGAACUCCUUCUGCUAUGAUAUGGGUCCAGUGUCAAUCGAUGGAGAAGUGAUAGCGUCGAUCGAUGCUGGUUUGUUGGUGUCGUUCGAUGGUAUCCGGCCGGUGUCGAUCGAUGCUGCUUCUGCUGGGCCCUUAUCGACGUCAUCUCUAAAUCGCAACCCUUUCUGAGAAGCUUCUACGUGCUGAUGAUCAUCCAAUACCUCAAUGUAAAAAUUGAACUGCAUACUUCUAUCAGGUCGAAUAGGAGAUUCAGCUUCAAAUACAACGCAUGAAACCAUAAUCUUCACAGGAUCAUGUAUCCUUUUCACUCUUUUGUGAAACCCAUCAGCUUCUUCUGUCCAUAUAGGUGGUCUAUGAUGUUUAGGGACAGCAAGGUGUGAGGCCUUAGACAUGUACAUCCUCUCCUCAAUCGGUUCCAUCUCAAUUAUGCAACCUGGCGGAACGUCUAGCAAUGGGCAUCGAUCGAUAUUAGGUGGGUGGUGUCGAUCGAUAAGUGGUUGGCGGUGUCGAUCGAUGUCGGGUGGGUGUAGAUCGAUGAUGUGGGGUGUUUGUCGAUCGAUCUCAUCAGGUUGGUGUCGACCGAUGCUAGCCUUUAAAGUUUCCAGAUCUCCUCUCGAAGUAUGCUGAUCGUCAUCAAGCUUUUUCUUCGAAUUUUGAUCCAUAUCUUCAAGCCAUUCCUCCAGCUCUAAGGAGUCUUCCAUGGUGAUUUCUCUGUCUACAUCGUCGAUCGACGUUGAGGUCGUGAUGUCGAUCGACGUUGAGGUCGUGCUGUCUGUCGACGUUGAGGUCGUGCUGUCGGUCGACAUUGAGGUCGUACCGUCUGGCGACGUUGAAGUCCUGCCGUCUGUAGACGUUGAGGUCCUGCCGUCUGUAGACGUUGAAGUCCUGCCGUCUGUAGACGUUGAAGCCCUACCGUCGGUAGACGUUAAGGUCGAGUCUUCAGUACCAGCUUCCUCUACUCUGCUCAACUCUCCAGACACAUGUUGUUCAUCCCUUUUUGCCAUAAUGUCGUCGAGCAGCUGUAUUGGAAUCAUAUACUCCUCAUCUAACGAUGCCAAGAACCUGUCCCAUUUAUCAUUCUUCUUCUUUUCUCGAGUUGCUUCAGCAUCAUCAAGAAGUUUGUAAAGGAAAGCUCUUUCAAUAUCAUCCCAGCUAGUUAGAGAUCCCGGUUGCAGUUGACUGAACCAUCUGAAUGUAUCCCAGAGAUAGAAUAGGGGAAGAUCUUGCAGAGCAUGUGGUAUUCAGACAUUUCAUUCUGCUCACUCCUUGACACGAGAUCCUCAAGCUCUUCGAUGUGGUUUCUAGGAUCUUGGUGAGGAAAACCCUGGAAGGGGUCUUGACCUACCCAAUCAUACCACUCUCGGCUCAGGUCAAAAUCAUUCAUCUCAGCAACAUCAAUCUCAUCAGGGAUCACAGCACCAUGAGCAUUAAUCAACUGUCAUGCGCUGUUGCGAGUGCGGCCUUCUUCGUCUCUCAACAUCCCAUUCUAGUCGACUUUAAGUAUGAGCACUUCGAUCUUCUCUGUCUCCACGCAAGUGGUGUUAUUUUUCACCGGAUGAACAGUGCCCGGAUGAACAGUGUCACGAUGAACAUUGUUCGGAUGAACAUUGUUCGGAUGAACAGUGUCAGAAUGAACAGUGUCGAUCGACGCGGGAUGAACAGUGUCGAUCGACGAGAGAUGAACAAUACCUCGAUGAACAGUACAUGAGUGAAUAGUACCAUUGUGAACAGUGUUGUCUCACACAAGUUGGAUAGUGUCGAUCGACGUAGGUUGAACAGUAUCGAUCGACAUCGGGUGAACAGUAUCGAUCGACGCGGGAUGAAUAGUGCUGAUCGACGCUUGGAUUUCUAUGCUGGCAAUCGCUGCUUGGAGGGUGUCGAAUACCCUCUUAGAGUUAUGGAUCACGCGUUCCAAAUCCAAUGGCUCUACUAGUAAGAGCCCUAUCUCCUUGUUGAUUUUGGUACUCAUAUAGAUGUACCUGAAACACAAGAAAUUUUUUUAUCAGUUUUUUUGUGAACAGUAGUAAAACCUAGACUAAAUCUAACUAGACAAGAUCUAAUGGCGAUCAAAGCUCCCCGGCAUCAGCGCCAAAUUUGAUAUCACUCAAAUUACCCUAAGGAGUGAUUUAUACUCUCUCAAAUAAGAGGUCGAGUUGUAGUACUUAGGGAUCGAAUCCACAGGGAGCUAGGGCACACAAAAGAUCUAAUAGUUAUACGAUUAAGCUAGGCUAAUAGUUUAUAAAGUAGUAAAUAUAGAUAGCAAAACAGUAAACAGUAAACAAGUUGAAUAAGACUAUUCUUCAACUUGGCAAAGAUUUGUUUGAUGGAAGGAUGGUUUGCUAGAUCUAGGGUGUCUAUUCAGGUAAUCAGGAUUAUAAUGAUAUAGAGGCUAAUUGUUGCUUGUAAAAUAUUAUAGAACUCAAACAAUAACAAUAAUCUACCAGCUCUCGCAUGUCUAGAUUAUCUAUCACUAGAUCUAAGAUCUCAGCUCUCGCAUGUUGAUCUGUAGAAAGUGUCGAUCGAUUAUUCUAUAGGAAUAUCGAUCGAUACACCUUUCACAAUAUCGAUCGAUUAAUCUAUUGGAUCAUCGAUCGAUAUCGCUUCUAGCAAGCUUUACGAUCGGGUUGAAUAUGUGUUCACUAAGAUUCCUAAAUCAACUCUCGUAUGUUUCUAGCAAUCCUAGCUCAAUAGAAUUCAGUUCAGAGAAAAGACCAAGCGAUGGCAUUGUGCCUAAUGAUUCUAAGAUCAGGGUUCUAGGUCAUGACUCUAAAACAUAACCAGUAAGAACAAUCCUAUGAUGAAUAUCACAACUUACCAGUUCUAUAUUUUGGGCUAAUCCCUCAUAACCUAUCUGAACUCUAAACCUAACAGGUGGAUCUAUUCAGACAUGAAGUUUGUCACAGAAAUCAUGGAUAUAAUAGAUGAAUUUGCAAUAGAUAUAAAAACAAAAGACAAUGAAGUUCCAGGAGGACUCUGAAGCAGUUCCUCCUUUCUCUCCUAACUAAGAACAAUGAAUUAAAGAAAGCUUAGAUAGCGUAGCCGUCAAUAAUGGCUUAUAAAUAACAUAAAUAGGGUUUCUGGUCGUCAAAGGGUAUUUUAGUAACUUGGUGUGGCUUCUGGGCUUCAAACGGUCUUGAAAUAUGCUUGACCCACGUUCUGGCAUCACUGUUGAUCGACACCAAUGCUGUGUUAUCGAUCGACAGUCCUUUAUCUCCUCGACAGCUUUCUCUUGCGAGGCAGACUGACCACUAUUCAGUAAAAUGGGCAUAACUUCUGCUACAGGAUGCUGAUUGCCUCAAACCGGUGGCAUUGGAAAGCUAACUCAAAGAUCUAUCUUGUGUCAACAGAUGGACUCAAUAUAACGGUGGGAAGAUCUCCAUCCAUAGCUAAAUAUCUGAUGCAUCUGUGCAGUUCUGCACCUCAAAACACUCCAAAAUCACAAUGUUUCUCCAGAACGUACCUAAACUUGUAAAUACUCUAAAUAUACUCUAUAUAGUAGUAAAUAUAUAUUAAAACACUUAUUGACCAUGGCUUAAAGUGGGUAAAAUCCAUGGUCUAUCAGAAAGUCUUCUUGGAAGUCAUCGGAAGUCUUAUGGACAAUCUUUCGGGAAGUUUUCCAGAAAGUAUUUUGAAAAGACUCAAAUUCUAAUCGGGAAAAUAAAAUAUAAGCGGGAAAUUUAAGCGGGAAAUUAAAAUUUAGGCGGGAAACUUAAAUUUUAAGUGAAAAUAAAAUUUUAAACCACAUGAAAAUUAAAAAAUAUAUCUUAUGAUCUAAAAAGACAUAUUAAACCAUAUAACUUGAUAAUCUUGAAGUUACUUAACACUUUUAAAAGUUAAAAAAAUAUGAUAAAGUUACUUAACCAAUUUACAAAAACUAACAUAGAAGCUUCUCGAAUUAGCUAGAGACAUUAUUAAAAAUGAAUGUUGCUAACCUCAUAAUUAAAAUCAAUUAAGUUAUGAAUUUCAUUCAGGAGCCCCAAUAUCGAUUAAUAUACAUGAAUUAACAAGAAAAUGUUAAAAAUCCUUUGUUUUUUUUUUGUCAUCGACUUUUACAGACUCAUACUGACUCUGUAAACCAAACCGGAUGAUCCGUAUUCAUGUGAACGAUGAAAGACGGCUGCUUCCUAACACUUUGUACUUGUCUAUCCGCCUUUAUAUUUUGCGUCCGUGGUACAUAGAUAAUCUCUGACCGGGUGAAACUCUCUUUCAGGAUCUUGACAUCGUCCAAAUAAGUUGCAAAAGCUGGUCAUUCUUCUGGUUCCCAAAACAUCUUCACCAAUUGAGAACAAUGCGUUGCAAACGUAACCUGAAAUUGAUGUAAAUUCCUCAUGCAUACCAUUGCCCAGAGUAGCGUUUCCAUCUCCGCAUGAAGAGGAGAGAGACUAGCCCGAACAUUUCUUGCCCCCAACAAUCCAUCAAAUCCUUCUAAAGUGUUGUACCAACCUUGUCCUGGAAAAGUAUCACCCUCUUUCCAUGAGCCAUCCACAAAACACUAUCUUCCUUGAAUUGACGGCAGGGUCGUAUCUACUAUUUGUGGUCUUGUCCUCUGCUCUUUCAAAAUUUGUGCCACAGCCCACAGUGUUGAUUUCGUUUCUGCCAACUUAAGCGUAUCCAAAAGAUCAAUAUCCAGAUUACUGAAAACUUUAUUAUUCCUAGCUUUCCAGAUAUACCAUAGUAUUUAUGCAAACUAAUGAUCUUCCAUCUGCGGAACAACUCUCCAGAACAGAUGAUCCAAAUUUGUGAAGAGAGCACUUGUCGGAAAGAUAGUUGGAUUUGAUGGUAUCUUCGAUAAAGCCCAAACCUGAAUAGCUGGAGGGCACACAAAAAACUCAUGGUUUAUGGAUUCUUCCUGGGCUCCACAUCUUCCACAACAAAUAUCCCCUUGUAUUCCCCUUGCCUGUAAAUUCUUCUUCACUGCUAUACAUCAUGUCACUAAUUGCCACAGAAAAUGUUUUAACUUUGGUGGGCAACGUAUUUUCCAGCAGUGAGCCUUCCGAACAUCUACCGUGGGACCAAUUAAUAAUGGUGGCCUUUCUCUAUCUGGAUAAAUCCGCUCUAUCUGAUAUCCUGAUUUGACCGUAUAUUUUCUGUUUUUUGUGAAAUGCCAUCCAUCUCUAUCUAUCCUCUGAGUCCUGCUCAGUGGUAUGCUUUCUAUAAGUGUCGCAUCCAUUAGAUCCACCAAAGCCCGAAUUGCCUGUGAAUUCCAAGUGUGUGAGGUAGAGUCUAUGAGAGACUCCACUUUAAGGUCCGAAUAUAAAUUGUGUUGAUUUUUAUUUGCUGGUCUCGGGCGAGUGGUUGGGAGCCAUGGGUCAUUCCAUACAGAAAUAGAAGAAUCUGAUCCCAUCCGUUUAAUUAGUCAUUUGCUUACCAGAGAUAUAGCAGAAACAAUAUUCCGCCAGCCAUAUGACGGAGAGUAUGAACAGAUCGGUUCCAAAGGUGAAGCAUUUCUGAAAUACUGCCCUUUGAAAACCCGAGAGAAUAAAGUGUUUGGCUUCUCUACCAGACGCCAAAACUGCUUGCCAAGCAUCGCUGUAUUGAAAUCAGUGAUGUCUUUAAAUCCCAAACCGCCCUCGUCCUUGUCUACACAUACCUUGUCACAUGAUUUCCAAUGCAUACCCCUUGUACUUCCCCCUGGACUCCACCAGAAUUGUGAGACCGCGCUCGUCAAUUUUUUCACAGUUGCCUUAGGUAAUCGAUAGCAAAACAUUGUAUGAUUUGGUAAAGCAGUGAUCACUGAUUUAAUGAUCACUUCAUUUCCGCCUUUUGUGAAAAAUUUGAAAGUCCACCCAUUAACUCUAUUUUUUAAUCGAUCUUGGACAAAGCUAAAAAUUUGGAUCUUUGAACCCCCCAAGUUUUCUGGUAAACCAAGGUAGGAUCCCAUUCCUCCAAGAUUCUGAAUGCCUAAAAUAUCCCUUAAUUCCUGUCUGACGGGUUCGUCGAUCUUAUGUCCAAAUUGAAUUGAAGACUUAUCAAAAUUUAUUAGCUGCCCUGAAACUACUUCAUAUUCCUUUAAAAUCCUGAGAAUAGUUUGACACUCUUCCUUAUGAGCUUUGCAGAAGAAAAGACUAUCAUCCGCAAAAAGAAAAUGAGAUAUCGGUGGGCAAGCUUUCAUUCCUGUUAAUUGUUUCCCUCUCUCUGCAUUUUUUAUAUUUGUAAUCAACGCCUCAGUGCAGAGAAUAAAUAAAUAUGGCAAUAAAGGAUCUCAUUGACGUAAGUCUCUAUUUGGAACAAUGAGGCUACGUGGUUGACCAUUUAUAAGAACUCGAUACUGAACCGAGGAAAUACAUUCCAUCAUCAAUUUGAUCCAAUGAAGAUCAAAUCCCAUUUUCUGCAGUAAGGCCCUAAUAAAGUCUCAUUCCACCCUAUCGUACGAUUUGCUUAUGUCUGUUUUAAUUGCCAUAUACUUUUCUUGACAUGCUUUAUUGGUCCGUAGUCCGUGAAACAUUUCCUGAGCGAUGAGAAUAUUAUCCGAGAUUAACCGUCCUGCCACGAAUGCCGAUUGAGUUUCGGAUAUAAGUAAGGGAAGAUAAAUUUUCAACCGCUGGCACAAAACCUUUGAGAUAAUUUUAUAUCCCACAUUACAUAGACUGAUUGGUCGUAGCUCCGUCAUCCUUGUGGUUCUCUCCGUCUUUGGGAUCAUACAAAUAUUAGUAAUAUUUAAUCUUGCAUCCAUUUCUCCCGAAACCAAAAAAUUGUUGACCAUUUCAACCAAAUCAUUCUUAAUAAUAUGCCAGGAGUGUUGGAAAAAAAGGGCGGUCAUGCCGUCCGGUCCUGGUGCCUUUUCUGGAUGCAUCAUAAACAAAGUCUCUCUGACCUCCUCCUCUGUCGCUAGCCUCAAUAAUCGUUGAUUCAUCUGAGGAGUAAUUCCAGGUGUAACCUCUGCCAGAAAACUAUCAAAUUCCGAUGGGGAGGUUGUACUAAAAAGAUUUUCGAAAUAAUCUAUUGCCACCUUUUCCACACCAUUAUCCUCUGUAAUCCAAUUCCCAUCAACAUCAUGUAAACCCACAAUCCUAUUACGAACCCGUCUUUGCUUAGUUAAAGCGUGAUAAAAUUUUUUGUUAAGAUUCCUAGAUGAGUACCACAUAUUCCUACAUUUUUGAUGCCAGUAUUCUUCUUCAUCCUUAUAUGCCUUUUAUAAUUUCCUAGACACCUCCAAAAUAUCCUCUUGUGACCUAGUAUUAUUUGUUUGUACUUCUUCCAGUGCUUGUUGUAACUCAUUUAUUUUUUCUUUCCCAUAAGGUGGAUUAUUUUUCCGCCAUUUAGCAAUUUCAUGGCGACAAUUGCUAAUUUUUUCAACAAUACCCUCUGUUCUCCCUUCCACUCCUCCUUCGUUGGAGUCUGCCCAACCCAUUGUAAUCGAAUCCAAUAUGCCCUCUUGUCCAAUCCAUCUCUUAUCGAACCGAAAUUGUCCUUUCCUCCUGGGAACUUUGUCGUCUAGAUAAGCCACCACCGGUCGAUGAUCAGAGGCCACCAUCCCCAGAUACUCUGUAAAAGAGCAAGGAAAUAAUGUAUGCCACUCUUCAUUUACUAAAGCGCGAUCCAAACGACAGCGGACCAUCACUGCCCCUUUCCCUUUUCCUCUUCGUCCUUGCCAUGACAAUUUAUUUCCCCGAGCCGGAAAUUCCAAUAAACCACUAUUUUGUAUCAUAUUAUUAAAAGGAAUAAAUGAAUCCGCACUCCUUAUAGAUCCUCCGUCUAUUUCAUGAUUUCCAUGAAUCUCAUUUAGAUCACCAAUAAUGAACCAAGGUUCGGAUCUCGUCAGACCACAUCUAGUUAAGCGCUCUCAUACGUGUUCCCUCAUUUCUUGAACUGGGUCCCCAUAUACAAAAGUAAGAUACACCUUCUUGCCUAGAGUUUCUGCUUCCACAUCAAUUCUUGCCUAGAGUCUCCUCCUUCGUUGGAGUCUGCCCAACCCAUUGUAAUCGAAUCCAAUAUGCCCUCUUGUCCAAUCCAUCUCUUAUCGAACCGAAAUUGUCCUUUCCUCCUGGGAACUUUGUCGUCUAGAUAAGCCACCACCGGUCGAUGAUCAGAGGCCACCAUCCCCAGAUACUCUGUAAAAGAGCAAGGAAAUAAUGUAUGCCACUCUUCAUUUACUAAAGCGCGAUCCAAACGACAGCGGACCAUCACUGCCCCUUUCCCUUUUCCUCUUCGUCCUUGCCAUGACAAUUUAUUUCCCCGAGCCGGAAAUUCCAAUAAACCACUAUUUUGUAUCAUAUUAUUAAAAGGAAUAAAUGAAUCCGCACUCCUUAUAGAUCCUCCGUCUAUUUCAUGAUUUCCAUGAAUCUCAUUUAGAUCACCAAUAAUGAACCAAGGUUCGGAUCUCGUCAGACCACAUCUAGUUAAGCGCUCUCAUACGUGUUCCCUCAUUUCUUGAACUGGGUCCCCAUAUACAAAAGUAAGAUACACCUUCUUGCCUAGAGUUUCUGCUUCCACAUCAAUUCUUGCCUAGAGUUUCUGCUUCCACAUCAAUCAUUCGGUUACUAGAAUAUAAUACCUUCACCUGAUACUCAUUAUUGUAAAAAAACGCUAAUCCCCCACUUCUUCCCACUGGAUCCACUGUGACCAAAUUAUCAUAACCAAAGUGCGCCUGAAACUUUAGGACAAACUCUGAUUCUUGCUUUGUUUCUGAUAAAAAUAGAAAGUCUGGUUUAUGUUUAUGUCUUAUCUCGCUUAAGUAACUUAUAGUCCACUUAGUGCCCAUUCCUCGGCAAUUCCAACAUAAUAUCCUCAUAUAAAAAAUUUGUUCUUCAUUCGCUCCGAAGAGCCAAAUCGUCGGGUGAAAUGGUACCCUAUUUUCACACUCCACCUAAUAUCCUUCAUUUGUGCCCUGAACCAUUGCACUGUAUUCCAAGAAAACUUUAAAAAUUCAUUUUUCCCAAAUUUACCAUUUACAGAGAACAGAUAACGUACAAGAAACCGACACAAAGGAAAAAACUUAUCCCUUGCUACUAUCAACAAAAUUAGGACAAGACGAAUCUUUACACUAAUCUGAACAUUAAAACCACAUGACCUCCAAUCCAAACAACCUCGUAUCCCAAAACGUGAUCUUUGAAAUAAGUCAAACUCUAUAGGACACCACAGCUCCAUCAAUAUAAUCACAAACAAACCAGUUACACCACUCAAAUCAUUUGCUAUUUUUGCUAUAAUUGAAAACCGUGAACUCUCUGUCUCCCUCCAUCCAUAUAACUGAUCCCAAAAACCUCUGCUCCUUGAAGUUUGAUGACUUUGAAUCAAAGAUCUCAGACUUGAAUUCCUUGGUAAUAUGUCAAUUACCCUACGACCUAUGAAGCUCCCUGCUUCACCCGUCUCCAUUUUGUUACCCCUCUUGCGCGCCAUUUCUAUGUUCACAUCUCCUUCCGCUCUCUGUGAUUGGUUUAAUGAGACCAACCAGAGAGCUCGCUCCCGUAUUACCAGCCCAUUCCAAAACCUCGUACAUAUAAGCGUCAAGAGUAGUGCCAAGCCAUGUAAUUCCCUGGAAGCUCCUGUAUCAUCACGAUACACCAGACAGCCACCUUCCUGCCUCCUUAUACUUGCAGCAUCUCCCGCCCCAUUCUGAAAUAACCGCCCCCUAUGCCUACAAUAGUUAAGGUGACAAGUAAUAGAGACCAUUUCACCAAGAAUCCAUAAUAUCCAAAAAUUAUGAGAAAGAUAAACGUGGGAGUUUAAACAUAUGUAUAUGUUCCAAUGCCACAACCCACAAGUCAAAUUAGAAUCAAUAGUUGACCCAAUUAUCCAAACUUCAUGCAAAAUAUCUCUCAAGCAAGCUACAAGAUAAAAUGUCUACACAUAAUUAACCAAUCCAACCAGGUUGAUGACCACACCAGAUCCUUUGUACUCCAAACCAUGAUUGCUACACUACUGAACCAUCUUUGCCUCUGACUAAUGCCUUCCAGAAAUGGCUUGUCCGUGUAGCUGAAGUAGCUGCAACAUAGAUCGAUAUGUGGUUGGUUUGAAGAAACCCACCACAGCCCUUGAUCAAAAUCUCCAUCCUCUGAAAAAUUUGUCUUGAUGAUGACGAAAAUCGAGAUCCCAACUCCAAUUAUCAUAAUCAUCCUUAAUCUCCCCUUUAUCCCCUUUCCUUUUACUGCACCAAGCCAUCGGGAAAUUGGAAUCAGUCUCUCAGCAGAUCCGAUUCUCAUACCUCGAAUAUCCUUUGAUUGAAACAGGAUUGGCCUUUGAUCCCUCAAACCGAUUCGAUAGAGAUCCCUCAUCAGCCCCCAAUAUCCUUUGAAUCCUAACUUUCCUUUACGGUUAAGAUUUUUCCCCAGAUCUGACCGAAUCUUCCUACCGAAAUCCUCAUACCCCCUCCAUAUCCCUUCGAAACUCUCCAAAUAAUAAUGAUCGAUCCGAUGAGAAUCUCUUACGCCCGAUCGAUUCCCCGGAUCCCAAUUUCGAAUCUCCAUUGAACCCUAGAAAUUGAUCGCCAUCGCCGUCGCUAUAACUCAAAUUUUUUUGUCUAAUUGAGUAAAAAAAAAUGAUGUAGUUUGUUUACAUAAGUAAUGAGAUAUGAAGAAUAAAAAUCGAAACUUUGGUGCAUUAAGAGCUUCAAAUUGGUUGUUCAUGGUGGGUUGGUAUAUUGAUGGCAAUAGAAAUAUCGUAAAUACUUGAUGAAAAUGAAAAUGAUCAAUAAAACACUUAUUUAAAAAAAAAAAGAUAAUGACAUUUUUUAAAAAUAAUUUGGUUAGUUUUAUGUUUGACUUUUUAUUUUAAGUCAUAUUAAAAAAAAACUAAAUAAAACGCGCGCACAGAACGCGACUCCAACCUAAUCUCCGAUCCUCAUCUCUAACGUAUUCAUAUUAAAGGUAGAUAGAUAGGUACAAACUAAACGGUUACGAUAGGUAGGCUGCAUCAUAAAUUCAUUAGAUGUUGACAUUCACGUACGUCCAACACGAUUAUUAACUUUUUCCAAAAUGUUUUCUUAAAGAAAAACACUCUAAUAUCAUAACAUAAAUAUCAAAUAUACGACUUAGAUAAUAAAUAUUAUUAAUCAUGCACAUGAUAUACCAGCGACUCGACUCGCCGGGAAUCUCUCGGACACGGUUUUCCUAACAAGAGAGUUAAUCUCCGGGCCCACUUCUUUCUCUGUUGACUCUGGAAUGGUGGUCAACGAUCCUGACUUGUCAUAAACGACGUAGUAUCGAUCUCUAUCGCCGACGCCGCCGUGACCGGCCCCUUUGUAGACCGGCGAAGAAGGAGUGCUUGAGGACAGAGUUUGGUGAUGUUUUGGUCUGAACACUGAUUUCAAGAAUCUCUGAAGAGAACGAGAGAUCUUGUUCGAAUGUUUCUUGUUUCCGGAGGAGGAACAAGAAGUAACCGGCGGAGGAGGAAGAGGAGAUUCCGGCGAGAGCGAGUUAAGAAGAGGUAGACGGCGGUCGGGGAGGUGAGACAUGGACAUAGUUCUGGCGGAGGAAGCAGAUAUAGCUGAGUCGAGUUGCCGUUUGAACGAGUUGAGCUCGAAAGAGUCGUAGAGAGAGCUACCACAGUCCCACACGUGUGAACUAGCCUUCUUGUGUUUCAUGUUAUUAUUCCCUUUCUUCUUCUCGUCUUGCUUUUGGGUGUUUUCUGCGUUCUGGCUCGAAUCUCUGUCUGCAAAUAUGUGAGCUCAUAAAACGGCAUAUAUAUAUGGGGGACAGAACCUAGGGUGAACUUAAGUUUUGUUCAUAUAUGGGCUUAUUACACAAACACGUAUAUAUUCCAGAACAAUAUAAUAAAUUAAUGACUGAUUAAGCUAUAUGAUCUAUGUGUACACAAUCAUUUCGUAAUAUAUAAGUUUAAUGAGACAAAUUAGGAAAGCGAAGCAAAAGUUGAAAAAUUGCCAAAAUUUAUAAAUUUCGUAAAUAUUUAAAACAACAAUUCCUUUUUUUUUGUGCACGUAAAACAACAAUUCCUAAAAUUUGGUAAAAAAAAUAGGCUUUCAUAUUUAUGCCCAAAAUUGUUAUGUGAAUUUAAUUUUGCUGGUUCUAUAUAUAUAGCUUAAUGAAGAAAAAAAACACAAACAUAGAAACACAAAAUUUCCCCCUAAUAUAUAUAUCUGAGGUUCUGUUAGCAAUUGUAAGACAACAUAUUCAAUAAAGUUUUUUUUUUAUUGCCUAAAAUUUUGAUAUGUAUAUGACUUUGUUCCAUGUAUGAAUUAGUGAAACGAGGAUAAAAGAUAAACUGAAGGAACAAAAGAUUGGUAACUUACCAUUUUCCAACUUUUUUAUCAUCUCAAGCGAUGAUGAUCUUGAGUCACUUUUAGAUAGAUCUUGUUUUGUUUCAUCUGAGUUUUGUCUUAAACCCUCCUCCAUGGUCGUCAUAGUUUCUUGUUCUUUAGUAAUCUCUUCAUCUGCAGCUUGACCAAUCGGCACAAAACCCUCCUCCAUGGUCGUCAUAGCUCCUUGAUCUUUAGUAAUCUCUUCAGCUGCAGCUUGACCAAUCAGCAUACUCUCUUUCAUCUUCUUCAUAUCAUCUUCCACUUUAGUUGCUAUAAGCUCUGACUCUAAGGCUUUUGGUUUGACUUUGAUCUCCAUCUUUAUACUUGUCGUGCCAAACAGAAGAAAAUAAACGCAGAUAGAUCUACCCCAAAUCUUUUAAGUUUACAAUAAUAACUAUGGAAAAUAGAAACCUCUGAAUUGUAACCUUUGGGUGGCUGUUACAUAAUACAGAUUGAGUGAGAUAGAGAGAGGAAAACCAAAAAGAAAGUGGGUGCUUAUAGGUGCUGAAUAAUGAAUGAUAUUUAUGAGCUUCACAGUCUGUUCAUCUCUUUACAUGAAGAUAUUGAAGAUAGUGAUUGUUAAUUAAAGACUAACUCACACGAUAUUAAGUUCUUAGUUGGGAAUAUGCUAAUUUUCUCUAUGUUUUUGGCAUAUAAGUUUUGGAAUUUUUACCCUAUUUUCACAAAGUUGCGGUUAAUCCUAAAAAGCUGUUUACAUAAAUUACAUGAAUUCUUCAGGUUCAGAUCUAUUAAUGCAGAAAUUUAUCCAACUGAUUGAACUGACCGUAAUUUCGAAGGUCAGAAAAUUUAACCCAUUUUUAUUUUAAUUAAGAGUAAUUGAAAGAUAAAUUUGACUCUCAAGCUCGAGUAUGAAUGGAUGAUUAAAAAAUCAGUAAAUGAUGACGAAAGUGAGAACGAGAUCAUACAUCUUUACGCGUGUCAGAGUUUCAUGGAAUUUUCACGUGGAUAUAGUAUGAUCGAUAUCUACUAUAUUACUUGAUUAUCUUUUUUUCUUGUAACACAUCACCUGAUGAUCAUAACUUCUUUAGUAUAUAGCCCUAAUUUAUGAAAUUCUGGCUUAUUCUUUAUAAUCAUACCUUUCAUUGAUAACUUCUUAGCUGUUUAUUUACUUUUACGCAAUAUAUAUGUUUGUAGUAUAACUAUAUAUAUAUGGUUGAAGUAUAACAUAAUUUGGAGCCCGAGACUUCUCCUUUUUCUCUCUUCGUUUCUUAACGGAGAUGAGAUGAGACGAAGCUUUUUCUGGUGCUCUACCAGGGUGUUUUGAUUCCGGGAGGCGGAGGCUAUUUCAGCUUCGUCGUCGUCGGCUUUUGAUCUCGGGGAAGUAGAGGCUUCCGAAGCUCUGCGCCGCCGACAAUAGAAAUUUAUUUUCCUUUGUGAUGCGAUCGAUGGGUCUAUAGCUUUGAUUCUCUGGGAGUCGGAGGAGAUCUCGACUGGGUCGAUGACGAUCUCUGUUGGUGGAGCUUAGGCAUCGUUGUGUAUGCUUGAAGCUAGUGGGUUUCUUUGCUUGUGGUUCUGUUUCUCGAAAGCCCCGGUGGUUGAUGAUUAGGAUCCGUCGACGUCUUUCAGUUUGGAGAGAUUGGUCGCGGUGUUUCCUUUGAAUGGGUGCUUGGUGAAUGUUCUCUUGUCUUCACGUUUGAUGGCUUGAUAAUCGGAUGAGAUCUCGAUAGGCGAUGAAACUCUCCGAUGAUGUGCUAAAGCGAUGAAGGAGGAGAUGUUGUAGUCUCUGGUUUUUCUUCAUCCGUUCGGUGGUUCGAUGGGUUCGGUGUGCGGUGGUUACGGUGUAUUCCGGUGAAACACGUGUUCGUUUCGUUUUUCUCCGGUGAUGACUCGUAGUUUGAGUCAAGAUGUGGUGACCUAGUGACGCGUGUCCCUUGAUGGCGAGGGUCUCAACACGUGUACGUCCAAGUGAAUUUCCCGAUGCGUGGUAACGUAUGGCGCCGAUCGGGUUUUCUUUUUUGAGCUUAAUUGCCCUUGUGUUUUGGGCUUUCUGUUUAAUACGUUUGGGCUUUAUGCUGGGCUUGGACUCUCAUGGUGUUGUAUCUUUUUGUUGUGAUACUUUUAAGAUAAAUGGAAAUUUCAGAUGGCAAAAAAAAAAAAACUAUAUAUAAUGUUCCAAUAAUAACGAAAACGUGUAACAAGAAAACCGGUCUAAUUACCAAGCAAAACAAAACGAGUUAGGUUCCUCUACGUUGACUAUUCGUCCUCAAUCCUAUCACGUAAACCUUAGACAUAUUUCAUAAUACUAAAAUACUAAUACAUCAUAUAUAAAUAAUUUACUAGUUCAUAUGUACCCCACGUAUAUUGAUUAUAUGAUAAAUAUUCAUUGCAAAUGGCCGAAAAGAUAGUAGUGUAGAUGACUAUGGGUAAGAUGGUUGUAUCUUUAAAAUUUUGGUGUAGAAAAAAAUUUGUACACUUUUUACUGUGGCUUUAAAUUUUAUUGCUGUGGAAUUUUAUGAAAAAUACUAAACAAUUGCUUUGGAUAUUUAGCUCUGCAGAGAGCUUGUACAGUCGUAAGUUAUUUCAAGAACCGUAAUUUAAAAAAAAAAAUUAAAACUUGAUUGCUUUGAAUUUGGUGUCGUAUAAAUAAAUAUGGCUAUAGACAUCAUUUAGUACAGCAACAACCACUAACCCCUAUAUUAAAUAAAUACUUUCACAGUAGAUUAUUCAGAGGACUCACCGCGUGGCCCUCAAUAGUUCCCUACUUUAUAAGCAACUUUAAGAUACAGUUGGUUGCAUAACUAAUGCGCUAGCAUAUUAAAAAAAAACUUAUUCGUUGUUGUUUUGCUUAUUUCAUUCAAGAUAAGUUGAGACAGUGUCGACUCCAUAUCUAAUCUAUUAAAAUGGAGUCUCAUUUUUUAUUUAUUUAUAAAAAUUGUUUUUAAAUUUGUGUUACAUAUAUUUUGGAUCUUUACAAAUUUGUUACAAUUAUAUUUUUACAUGCGACCUAAUUAAUAGAACCAGAUUACUUAAAUUAAACCAAUAUCUAAUCUCCUAAAACCAUCUGAAAUUAAACUAACUAAACCGAAAGGUUAUUAACUAUUAGAAUAAACAUAGGAUUUGGACUUCAUGUUAAUAUACAUGAUCGCCUUUGCUUCUCUUCAGAUCACUACAUGUCACAGAAAAAAUCAAAUUAUUUCAUAUUUUGUUUAUCUUUAACCAUACGAAACAUUCCUACAAAUAAAAAAUUCUAAUUAUGAACACAACAUUGUCUUCAUAUAAGCUUUAAUCAUAAAGAGUUUAGAUCAUGUUCACCAUUUACGUUACAUAUGUUUUGUUUUUAUCUAUUAAAGCAGAAGAUACAAUUCAAGAUUUCCGUUCGUAUUUCUUUUGUAAUUUCAAUUAGUUAAAUAUCUAUUAAUUAUUUACAUCCUAAUUAUCUGAGUCAAAUAAGUCUUACGAUUCAAACAACUAAUAACUUAAAGCCAUCUUCAAGACAUAACACUUAAAUAAUAUAACUAUCAUGUAAGAUACGUAUUUGUGAAAUUUAUAUGCAAGGUAAUUAUAUCAACCAGAUUUUAACUUGGUAUGUUAAAGUUUGGGACUUUGAUUUAUACCUCCACACGAUAUCCACUGUCCAUCAGUUUCCUUACUUGCUUUGCUUUAAACUGCAAGUCCUUUGCAUCCAGAAGAGAAAAAGAAAAUUUUCUUUGUAGGUUUAAUCAUUAACCCAGAGAAGAGAAAGAAACAUAUAAAGCAUUUCAAGAGAAACCUUAAACUUUUGGAGUAAAUCGGAUUUCUUUUGACUUCUGGUCGAAUGGGUACUUCAGCUUUAAUAGAACAAGGCAUCAAAACAAUAAACUCAAAAUGCAAAUAGAAAAAAAAACUGGAGAAUUUGAAGUAUGAGUAGGCCAUGAUCACUGACCUUGGCCUUAGGAUGCUCCUUUCCUACUUGAGCCUUUUUGUACUUCUCAUUGGCGUAGUUUGCAAUUUAACACCUGGUGGGUUAGCAUCUCUCUGGACUUACAAGACAAAGAAGAAUACAAACAGAUUAGAACUAUAUUAAGAGAUAUACCUCACCUCAAGAGAGACAUUUGUAGACUAUAGGAUACAAAUCAAGACAGAUCUGUAAUCAUCAGAAACAACUUCUAGAAUUACUAAUAUUUAAAUUAACAUAUCACCUCAACUAAGUCAUGCUUGAGCUCCUUAGCCCAUCUGAGAGCUUCCGUCAGUGAUACAAUGCAGUAUCCUGCACAACGAACAAACAAUUUAAAUUAACAUAUUAACUCAACUGAGUUAAUGUAAGAUACAUAUUUAUGAAAUUUAUAUACAAGGUAAUUACAUACCUUUAACUCGGUUCUUUAAUGAAGUCUUCGUAUUGGUAAAAUUUGCUUCUAAUCUCUUGGACGGGCUAUUGCCUUAUUAUAGCUGAAUCAAGGAAUCUGCAGAGUUAUUUUACCCUUUUGUUAGACUUAGUAGAUUAGAUACAAUAGUAAAACUAAACAUCUGUCAAGUUAAUCUUGAAUUCAAAGUAACUAAAAUCUGAAGAACAUAACCUUUGUUGUUAGACUGUCUUGAUGAGUUUUCCUUUCGUUGCAAAAUCGGAAAUUGAUAUAGUUUUUUCUUCUUUUGAACCUCUUCGUUUGUCAUGACUCGAUCUACAAAUCAAUACAGUUAAGCUUAAGAGCGAUCUUACUAAAUAUGUAUAUCUUAUAUGAAACAAGGAUGAAAGAAACCAAUUACUUUGAUUUUUGAAAACGUGUAUUGAGUAUACAGAUUAUAAGACUUAGGGUUGAAGAUUAUUACCUUGAAUUUUACGGAGGUCGACAUAGCAAACCGCAUGCAUAUGUUGAGAAACAUUCGUGACAAUCAAUCUCAACUGAUUUCGUCGUUAACUUUUUUUGAUUGAUACAAUGGAAGAAGAGAGAGAGACGAAGAAGUCGUAAAGUUUCAGCUUUUCACCGACAACGAAUGGCUAAAAGUUCUUCACUUUUUUUUGUUACUUCCCGGGAAAAAUCUAUUGUACUAUUGGACUUACAUGUCUUUCGUGGUUUAAUCAUCCGAUUAUAUUGGACCUGUGCCAUCAAUAAACACAAUUUUUUAAUUAAGUUUAUAGAUUAAUGGAUCUUAACAAUUUAAAGCCCAUACUAUUUUCUGGGCCUAUUAUUUUUUUCAAAAACAAACUUAGAUAAAAACCUAUUAAAUGUAUAUUUUUAAAAACCUUCCUAACAUUUAUAUAAGCAGAUAUCUAUAAUAUUAUCCGAGAAGUCAGUUUCCUAUGUGUCGCUUUCACGUUCAUUCUCACGAUAGUUGAUUACACAUAUACCCUUAAUGAAUUAAAAAUAUUACAUUUAAAAUAUUGUUAUUUAUUUAUUUAUUUAGCAUCCUUUUUAAGAACUUCCAAAAAACAUACACGGAAAUUUUUUAUAAAAUAAAAAAAAAUGAAUUGAAAAACGAAAAAUAUAUGUAUAUAUAAUAUGAUUUCAUAAAAAAGAAAAGUUCACAAAAUAGUAAUAUUACAUUUAAAAAUAUUUUUAAAUAACAUAAAAUAUACUUUUGAAGUAAUAAAAUACUUUCUUUAUAUCUAUAUUUUCUUAGAUGAAAAAUAUAAAUUUGUAUAUAAUGUGAUUUCAUUAAAAACAAUUUACACAUAUAAUCUUGAUAUUAGAAAAAGAAAUAUUAUUUAUUUUAAAACAUAAUUUAAAACAAUACGAAAAAAUUCAGAGUAACAGAAAUACUUUUAUAUAUCUAUCUAUUUCCUUAGAUGAUUACAUAAAAUAAUUAAGUAACAUAAACUAAUAUAUGUUUAAUUGACUAAAAAUAGUUUAUAAUUAGUAUUAUUGAAAUUUUUAUUUAUUUUUCAUAUAUUUAGUUGACUAUUAUGAUCAUCGUUUUAUUUUAUAAUACUUUUUUAAAAACAUCAACAUAUAAUUUGAUAAAUAUUAUGAAAACCAUGGACAUUUAAACGAUACAUAAAAUUGAUUUGAUUUGGCUUAAUUGUAAUAAAAAUAAUUAUAAUUCAUUUUAAAUUUGAAAGAAUAUAUGUAACUCAAUAUACUCGCAAUAUGAGUGACUCGAUUAAUACAACUUAUAUCUAAAGUCAUAGAUUUAACUACGAUAAGAAUAUAUAUAUAUUUUAUAAGAAUGGUAAUUUAUUUUAUAAAUAUAAAUCAUAGGACUAUUCAGAACAUAUUAAAAAUGAAAAUAAAAUAUUAACUAAUUGUUACAAUUUAGUCCUUUUGUAAAAUUUAGAUAUAUGCAUGAGAUUUCAGAAUAUUAUCGUUAUAUUAAUUUAUGUAAUUUGGAAUAAGACACUUUUGUUUAUUUUUUUAUUUCAUUAUAAGCACAAUAUAUCUUAAGUUAUACAUAAUCUUUAUAAAAUAUAUCUACAUAUCUAAGAAAACAACCACCUCAAUGCAAAUAAGAAAUUAAUCAAAAUUUUAAUAUAUUUAGAAUAAAAAAAAUUGCAUUUGAAUUCAGAGAUUCAAUCCAAUUUACCCAAAUGAGUAACUAAAUCGACUGUAUAUUAUCGUUAUAUUAAUUUAUGUAAUUUGGAAUAAGACACUUUUGUUUAUUUUUUUAUUUCAUUAUAAGCACAAUAUAUCUUAAGUUAUACAUAAUCUUUAUAAAAUAUAUCUACAUAUCUAAGAAAACAACCACCUCAAUGCAAAUAAGAAAUUAAUCAAAAUUUUAAUAUAUUUAGAAUAAAAAAAAUUGCAUUUGAAUUCAGAGAUUCAAUCCAAUUUACCCAAAUGAGUAACUAAAUCGACUGUAAACAACAAAAUCGAUUAGAUAUAACAUAUAUAAAAUCAUAUGUAUAAUUAAAGUAAUAUAAUAUUAUUAAUAUAAAUGAUGCAUACAAAUUAUAAAUUAAUUUAAAAUUAAAAGUAAAUAGCAAUAAAUUAUUAUAGUAUAUUUACUUUAGAAAUAUUUAUACCUGUGCAUGAGCACGGGAAAAUCACCUAGUUAUUAAUAACUAAGAUAGAACAAUUAGCACCCUUAAGUUUUUUGAAUAUACAAAUUAUUUAAAAUAAUUAUUUUGUAUAAAGUUAAUUAAAACAUAUGGAUUUUUUUUUAAAAAAAUAACUGCUUAGUUGUACAAUCUAAUAGGAUAUAUAUUACAGUCAACAAACAAGUUAAACAGAAAAAUUAUUACUUAUAUGAACAUCUUACAUUUAAAAUGAACACCAUAUACAACAACAAAAAAAUGAACACCAUAUACAAUCUAUUAAUACUAUUAAAACACACACCAAUGCUAUACAUUUGGAGCAAAUAUAUUGUAUCCAAAUAAAAAUAUUUUUCAAAGUAUAAACCACAAAUUUGAUAAUCGCAUAAUAUACUUUCUUUUUUUACGAAAAUUUAAGGAAAAAAAUCCGCGCACGGCGUGGAUCCGUAUCUAGUAUACAUCAAAAGACACUUAGUUAUCAACAUAUGGGUAUUAUUACCAUACAGCACCGUGCGAAGGUUUUAGAGACAGCAAAUUUUAAAAAUAAACUUAUUUACAACUGUAAUGAAAACAAUUUUUUAAUAUGAUAUAUCACUUUCACCAAAUACACAAAUCUAACACUGUAAAAGAAUAAGUUUACUACGUAAAUAUUUUAUAUUAUGCCAUAUAAAAAAAAUAUGAAUACAGAAAGUGAAUUAGUCGACGACAUUCGUAGAAAUACAUUUUUGAAAAUAAGUCUAAACCAAUAGAUUAGAAAUUAUUUUAUUUUGGAACCCUAAAGAAAGUCAUAUGAUGGAAUGAUUUGUGAUAAAGUUGUAUGAAUAGCCAAGUGGUAUUCUGCACAAGGCAUAAACGUUAAGACUACUAAUUCUUUUUAGAGUUUGUCUUCUGUUGAACCUCUGGACUCAUCACUAAAACGAUAACCAAUACAAAUUUGCCAAAUCAUAUUAUGUUUUUUAAGUAAAAAAAUAAUCAGAACAUAAUAUUAAUUGACACAAAAAGAGUUUAGUGGUGGACUUGUCCAAAACAUUUUUAUUCAAAUAUACAAAAAAUCAAUUAAAACAUGCGACUCUAUGAACCAUCGCCAUAAUUCUUUUCGAAGUCCUUCGAUGAACCAUCGUCAUAAUUCUUAUCGAAGUCCUACAAAAUAAAAAGAUAUAUAUUUUUUAAAAAUGACAUAUAACUUAAUUAUAGAUAACAGAUAAAUUAAAUAUUUACUCUAGGUAAUUGAGAGAAAAACGACCCACUAUGUAAUGCCGGAUUGGUGACAUAAAAAAAUAACUGAGUACCAAGAGUAAGAGUUGGUUCCUGAAUCGUUUAUCUAAAAUUCAAAUAUUGACAUAUAAAUAAAUUAUAAAUACUAGAUAUAAUGAAAUUUGUAUCUGGGGUACGUGAGAGAAAAACGGCCUAUUAUGUGAGAUCGGACCGGUGGUAACAAAAGAUAGAUGGAUAUCGGGACCAGAAGUUGAUUCCUGGAGCGUUUAUCAAUUUAUUCAAUGAUUAGUAUAUACAUGUAUUGAUUAUCUCAACGAAAAAUUGACAUAAACCAAAAACUAAUAAUAUAUAUGAAAUACCUAAAACGAUAACUUUGUUUUGUUCUAGUCUUACUUGAUGAUUUUGAUGUACCAUGAUUUUUUGCGAGAACAUCUUUAAAUCGACUAUGGAGUCCGUCUUUUUGGUUCUUUGGUCACCCAAGAGGAUUUUUCCUUUUUACUCCACGUAUAUUUGAGACAUUCUCGUCUUCUUCUUCCACAAGUUUACCUUUUGAACCAUGGAGUAUCCAUGUAUUAGCUCUCACAAGUUUCUUUUUAUCUUUUUCCAGUUUUAAGCAACUCAAUUGCAUCUUCAUCUGCACACAAUGUCAGUUUUAUAUGCUUGUUUUAUAUGUUCAGCAGCAACAUAUGCAAUCUCACGGAAAGUACAACAAUAUGACUAUAUAGCUUUCCAAUCGAUUGUUUCACUACUUCAUUAGGUAUCUUCGAAUGAUAAUAAGAUAUGGUUCGUGAUUUAUCUUCUUUACUCUAUCGAUUCAGAAUAACAUUCUUCUAAUAUAUGUAUAAUUUUAUGUACAUAAUAAUAUAAAUAUUUGAUAUGUUAAUUUCAUAAGAAUAUUAAUAAUAAAUCAAUUUUAAUUAUAAAUUUUAAUUAUAUUUUAAUUAUUAAAAAAAUCAGCUGAGAACAAAUCUAAUAAUUAAUGCUUAAAGUUAGGAUUAUAUAGUUUUUAGUGGUAUUAGUGUAAUAAAACUGCUAGUUCAAGGGUUAAUUCAUUCUUGUACUUCAGUUUUAAUAGUAUAACUAGUUCAAGGGUUAUUCAUUCUUGUACUUCAGUUUUAAUAGUAUAACUAGAUUUUGACCCGCGCUUUCAAAGCGCGGGUUUAUUUUUGUUUUUUUUUUCAAUUGACAAAUAUUUAGUAAAUGUCACAUUUUCAUAUAUUUGUAUUUUAUUUUAUAAAAGACUUAAAAAUUUUAUCUUUAUUUAUCGUAUUUCAUUUUAAAUGACUAUUUAUGUUAAAAAAAAUUAAACUUUAUUUUUUUAAUGAAUUAAGUUGGUAUAACUCUGAUAAAUUAAUUUUAUUAUGGGGUUAAUAUUUUAAUUAAAAAAUUAUAUACUUUUAAUAAAGAUUUAUACUUUUCAAUAAAAAAAUUCAAUUAUUUUUAUGAAUGCUUAAAUUAUAUUAAGAAAAGAAAAAAAUAAUAAUUAAGAAUAGUUGAAAAAAAAUUAUUUGAACUUGGACUCAAUGGUCCAAAGGAAAAAAAAAGGUGAGAAUUGAAUCUGAUUUUUUAAUAGGCCCAAAUGGCCCAAGAGAGAUUUGAUUUGGGCUGGAUCCAAAAAUAAUGACCCAAUAUAGAUUUGUUAUUAAUAUUACUUAAUUGCCCUUAAUGAAACAUGCAAUGUUAGUGAAGGAAACAUGCCCCUAAGGUAAUUAUGACAAUAGGAUCCUGCUUUAAUAGUAUAGAUAGUAUAAUAUAUACUAGAACUUGAUCCGCGCCCCCGUGCGGGUAUUUGAUUUAACUUUUGUUCAAUGUAAACUCACAAACUGCUGGUUUUAUAAAAAAAUUCCAUGUAUAUUUUUUAAUCUUUUGUAAUUUACAUAUAGAGUAGAAUAUAUUAUUUUAUAAUAUAAAUGUUUGAUAAUAAUUUUUUUAUUUGUACAUAAUAUUAUAUUAAAAAAUUUAUAACUUGAUGCAAUUUGAUGUAAUUGUACUAUUCAUAUAUUAACCAGUUGUUUUUUGUUAAUUUAUUUUAAAAUGAAACAACAUACUAAAAAAAUAAUUUUUUUGCAUUAGUUUUCUAUGAGUUAUUAUUAAUUUUGUGAUAUUUUCUUUUCUUGAAAAUUGAACUCUCGAAAUUUUUAUAUUUGACUACAUGCGAUUUUGGUAAUAUUUGUACAAUAUUAAUAAUAGUCAAUAUAUGAAUAUCAAUUUGGUUAGAUAAGCUUCAGAAUUUUAAUUAAUUAAUUAAAAUUGAUUUUAAAUGCAGUUGCAGAAUUUGUAAAUAAAAAGAAAUACAAAAAAGAAGUACUUAAUUUAUUAUAAAUACAAGGGCUAAAUGUGUAAAUAAAAUAAGUACUAAAAAUAGUGAUAUCCAUGUUUACAAAGAAUUCUCAUUUAUAAUGUUAUCCAUGUUUCCAAACAGUAUCAAAAAUUAAAUAUGUUUUAAUGAUAUAAACUAGAUCUCGAUCCGCGCAACCGCGCAGAUUUUUAUUUCAUUUAUUUUUAUAUAAACAUUUUGUUUUUAAUUCUAAAUUGGUAUAUAUUAUAAUAUAUAGGUAUCUAUCAAUUUUUAAAACAUAAUAAGUUUACGGUAUAUUUUUUUCAUUGAAUAGAUUAUUUCAAACUUUCACAUGUAUUUGUAUCUUCUUCUAUAUAUAUAUUUUCGGAUUAUUAUUUCAUUAUUAAAAUCAUAACUAUAUAUAUAAAAAUUAGUUAAAUACUGUUUUAUUGUCAUAUUCAAAGAUAUUGUAACAUUUCACAAAUUUAGAAUUUUUUUAAAAAAUUAAACUUUUCCUUCAUAGAUUUAUAUUAUCGAGUAAAUAAUUAAAAAUUUAGUUUUUGUUUAAUGUUUAAAAUAAAUUAUAUAGUUUAAAAUUUGUUUUCAUUGGUUUAAGUUUGUAAAGAUUAAUCAUUGUUAGAUAAUAUGAUUUUUGUUAUUUAAAAAAGAACUUUAUAAUUUUAAAAGUUAACAUCGACAAAUAUUUAAAUAAUUAACAUAUGGAAGUAUAGUAUUACAACAUUAAAUUAUAUCUAUUUAGUUUAUACUAUCUAUAUUUAAAUCCAAUUAUUGAUAGCCUAAUAAAAAUUUCUGGUAUGCCCAAAAUUUAAAUGAUAAGAUUAGAGAUUAAAUGUAAUAUGAUUUUUUAGAAAUAGGUCCAUUAGGUCCAUUUUUUAAAAAAGCACACAUGAAUCAAGGUCGUGGCUUCUGUUUUAGUAUAUAAGAUUUUACAAUGCUAUCAAUGUUUCAAAACAAUUAUUGUUUACACUGUUAUCCAUAUUUUCAAAUAGUACCAAAAGGUAGUUGAAUUUUAAUAAUAUAGAAGAUUGUAUAAUGCUAUCAAUGUUUCCAAACAAUUCUUAUUUACACUGCUAUUCAUUUUUUCAAACAAUACCAAAAAUACUUCGGUUCUAAUAAUAUAGAUGUUACUCAAUUGACAAACAAUUUGUGCCACAAACCACUACUACAACAAUAAAAUUGAAACCAUCAAUCUUUUAAAUGCGGGAAAAAGUUAAAAAACAAUCUUUCAUGUAUUUAUUUUGUGUUUCAAUAAAAAUUACAUUUAAUUUCUUUUUUGAAAUUUUAAACAAAAUACGUUGAUUAAAAUCUAAAACUAUAAUUUUUCAAAUAUAAACAAAAAUCUAAAACAUCAUUUAAAAAAUACGGAAAACUAUAAGAUAUAUUCUUUUUGGAUUUAUCCGAAACAUCUUCCAGAACCAUAAGCAAAAGACAAGGCUGAUUUGGCCAAUCCAUCAGCAACAACAUUCCCAAGUCUUGGGAAUUGGGAUAAAAUUAAACAAGAUACAUGUAAGAACUAGUAAUUUUCAACUAAAAAAUCACCAUUAUAUUAGAAACCCUCACCCAAAAAAAACAUGUACACAAAAAAGUGCGUCUAUGUAUUCAUCCAUAUACUAUAUGAUAAGCAUCGAUCUAAUCAACAACUUCACUACUAAACAACUUGAACUUAUUAGCAUCAAGAACAAGUUUCCUAACAGAGGAGAAAGCUCCCAUGAGGCCCGCACAAGUGAACACAACCAUUAUCGUCAUGUUUAUCCAGUACGUGAAGCUCCGUUUCGUAGGCUUAUAUGUCAUGUUGUAUAGAAGCAUGGGCAGCACGAAAUCGAGUGGGAUAAAACCAAACGCUCCUACCACCGCGUUUAUAUCCCCAAAGAAGGGUAGCAUCGCUGCCAUGAACCCACAAAACGCCAUAUAUAGCGUUCUCAGUAUCAAACGCGGCACCAGGUUGCGGCUUGAGAACAUCCCUUUUGUUGUAUCCGCCGAGUUCUUCUCCAUUAUCUCAUACGCAACUUGUGAAUACACCUACCAAAAAAACUCUCUAAACGUUAGCCACUCGUCUCACUGCCAAUAUAAAUGUCUGAUCUAUUGAAAGAUAACUUGGACCGCAAGAUGUGUUAUCUUGCUAUCCAAGAAACCAUCAAUACGAUCACUUGACAAUUUUUAAACUUACGAGGCCGAUGGCGAAGAGCUGAAGAAGAACAAAGAUGACCGCUAGGCCAAUGACGACGAUAGGAGCCAAAGUUGGUCCUUCGUCAGGCAUUAGGUUCUUGAGAAUAUUAGAGCUCGAACUAUUACCAAAUACCCAAUAACCAGAAAUUGCAGCCGAGUAAAACGUGAAGAAGAUCACAGUAUAACACAAAAUUAAUCCUUUCAGCAUCUUUCCUGUAGCUGGUGGAGCAAGAGUUGCCUACAUUUAUAUAUAUAUAUAUAUAAAGUAUCACAUAAAUCUCAAGCUCAUGACAUAUGAUGUUGUAAUUGAUUUUACGACAUAUUACACCUGUAUUUCUGGUAGAAUUCCAUUUCCAAAAAUAGCAGCAAUGAUCGAAAUGGAUGUGAAGGCACUAAAAACUCUCCCUGAGUCCGAAGGCUCUAGUGAAUACUCACGUUUAGGAGCGUGUUUAGACAAGCCUGCAAAACCAAAACAAAGCUAUUAUUAAUUAGUCUCCAUUUUUACCAUUAGUUGUCGUUUUUUUCGGUAAUGUAAUGGUAAAUCAUCGUACCUAGGUUGAUACAAGCCCCAACGACGAGGAAAGUGUAGCCUAAGCUGAGAAGAAGAGACGCACAGUUAAUGUGUCUAAGAGAAUGAAAACUUGGGAGCUGUGACAGAACAAUCAUCACGGCUGUGACCAUAGCAAUGAACUCGUAGAGCUUCAAGGUUCCUUGUGGGAAAAGACUCGAGUACAUUAUCUAUGUUAACAAAAAAAGAAAACAGAGGAAAUUUAACAUCUGAUAUCCAUACAUAUCGUAGUGCCUUGUUUAGCAAGUAACUAAAUUCUUUCUUACAUCAAGACAUUGGCCUGCGAGUAGAAUGGCGCCUAUACCGAUUCCAGUGUUGAUAGCUGUUUGAAUGAAUAUCACUACGUAAAACAUCCAUCCCGAUCCUGCCUCACAUUGCAAUAACCGGUCCAAAAAUUAAAACUGACCGGUAUAGCACAACCAAUCAGUUACUACUAUACCGAAAACCUCCAACUUUAAAAUUUCAAAAUUUAAAAAUUCUGGUCAACUUUAAGAAUCCAUAUUUAAUCGAAAUUAAAUGUAUUUAUUCACCUAAGUAAUAACACCUAUGUUGACCACCAUUAAACCGAACCCAACUAGAUUUUUCUCGGAGACAAACCAAAAGUUUCUUUUUGGUUCCAAUUCGUUAAGAAUUCUCUGAACCCAAGAACUGGGUAAACCAAAUUUUCUGAAGUCUAACCGAUCUAUACAAGCUGAAGAAAUUAAAUUCUACACGAAACCGGAAACCGGUUAUCAGAAUUCGGUAAGCAUCACCUUCAAUACAACCAAACCGGAAGCACGUGUGCGAUCAGGAAAUCUAACAGACAAAUAAAAGGUCAAAGUAUGUACACUGAAACUUGAUCCACCGUAUACGGAUUAACCCAAAAAAGGAAAAAUAUAUUUCACAGAUUUAAUUCUGAAAAAAUAUGAUUUUGUUUUAUACCGAGAACGUCGGCGGCGAGUUCCCGGAAUCGGAUGUGACGGCGGCCGGCUUUUUCACAGUGAUCGAGAACCUUAGACAUGAGGGAGUAAGCGUAGAAAGUGACGAGUCCCAUCGUCGUCAAGCACACAAACCCUAACCACCAUCCCAGUCCCCUGAAUGCGUACGGUAACGUCAAUAUCGUCGGUCCCACGAUCGCCGUCGUCAGAUGAAACCCGGCGUGCCACCACUCGCCUGAAAUUCCCCGGUUGGAAAAUUAAUCAGUUUGUGGAGAAAACUUUCGGAUGGAUCAGUUUGAUCGAAUUACCUUUGGAUUGGAGGACAAAGAGAGCUCCGGCGUCGGAAUCGAGUCGAGAAGAAGGAAACAUGUCGGAUCUUGGAGGAUCCGCCAUUGAGGUGGAAGAGAAGAAAGAAGAUUACGGAAUUAAAAGAAAGUGAUUCUUUGGGGAUGGUGACGAUGAGCAAUAGCGUGGAGGUGGUGGUGCAUGUUAGCUGGUAAUAGUUUAUAGUUAGUUGCUAACAUGUUAAUAUUAAUAUUUCGGUGGUUCUUUGAAUAAACGACAACAACCUGUCCGAGUGGGAAAAGAAGAAGUCAUGAUAUGCAUUUCCCACUUUAUUCGGGAUGAGUUUUUUUCUUUUCAUGAAAGCUGAAUUCAAUAUAUUAAUAAAAGUUCUCGACUAUUACCACUAGCACGGCCUGAUUGACUGCGCUUAAAACGCAGAUGCAAAUGACUGCAGUUUCUAUUAUUAUUAAGCGAUUUGUACGACUGAUACAUCGGUUAGAAAUUAGUGCAUAUUAUAAAAAUAUUAUUUUUAUCAUCACAUUAUAAAAUAUCAUAAAAAGACUAUUAUGAUAAAAUAUAAUAAUAAUUAAUAUAAUAUAAUUAUUAAUAAUAUUAUAUUAAUUUAUUUAUUUAUUUUAUAAAAGUUAUUAUUUCAAUAAAUUUUGUCUUAAAGAGUUAUUAAUAUUUCAUUUUUUUGAGUGAAUAUCUUUUCGUUUAUAUAUAUUAAUGUUUGAAAAUUAUGGUGAAUAUUCUUGAUUUAAAUUUUUUAUAAAAUAAAUUGUGAUAGUGUUAGUGAAAUUAAAUAUAAUAUAAUAUAUAUAUAUAUUUUUAUUUAUAAUAUUUCAGUUUUGAAUUUUUAAUUUAAAAUUUUAAAAUAUUUUUAAAAAAUAUUUUUAUAUUGAUUUAUGCACCCGCAACUGCAAAUGCUAGUUGGAAGUUUGCUUUUGAUUUUAAGAGGUUUGGAGCAGUUUGAAACAAUUUAUAGCGUUUUGGUGAUUGUUUAAAAACACCAACAACCGUUACCAACCGCAGAAGUUGUGUUUGCGGGUGGCAACAUAAAACCCAGCCGGACCCUAAGAGGUUUCACCUCACACUUCCCUGUUUACUAAGAGGCCAAACCGAAAAAGUCACCCCCCAAGACCAUUACCGACAUAAAAAUCCAUAAUAGAGGAUGAAAUACUUUCAUGUACAGAAAAAUCUCCAAGCCAUACAUGAGCACCUAAGGCAACGUAAGACAAAAGAAGAUCUAGUCUAGGAACACGUAAAACAAUGAACGUAGCUCCUAUAUUUUCACAUUUUUUAUCCACCAAGACUUUCCAAUUUCCAUGUUGGCUAAUGCCAAAACCACUUCUUCCACCUGAAACCGAAAGGAUGGCCAAGCUUUUGGUUUAAGGAUGGUGCCAAAAAAUUCCGUAAAUUCGGCUGGAAAUAUGGUAUCGUUGAGAUGCAAACUAAUCAUACCAACAGAAGAUCGCCAGCUUCAGAUCUUUUGGUUCUUUGAAUCCAGUCCAAGCCAUUCGACUAUGCAAUUUUUCCAUUCGUUUCUCAUCUCGAAUCAUCCAAGGUGUUCUUAGUAGUGCCUUCUUCCUACAUCAUUCCAUUCCAAUGUUACACUUUAGUCAUUCACUUGGUGCUUGUUUCCACACAUUAUCCCUCGAGUGGUCAUUGUUUACUUCCAUCCACUAUCUUUCCACAUCCACAUCUUGAGCUAGAAACCACAAUUCCGCCCUUUCGCAACUUUUUUGAAAACUUGUAACGAGUAAACCUUUGGCCCUCAUACAAGAAUCCAUUUAUAUUUUUCCACAAGAACGAAAGAAACCACGGCCAACACCUGCCUAACUCCAUACUUACUCGUUUGCUCCUAUGGAAGAUCACCAGGUAUUGAAUAUUGAAAAAGAUAAACGAUGGGUGAAACCCUACUUACGAUUUAGGAAUACAAGAUAUGGUCUAUAGUUGUCUAGCCACCGUGUAGGAAAACAAAACAUAGUUCACUGAUUCUCCCUGUACACCACAUAUUUGACGGAUCUCUUCUCCUCCCAUGCCCCUUGCAUUCAUAAGAUCACUGACUGGAAAAGCUUCACUCAAGGCUCCAUAGAAAUACCUUUAUCUUAGGAGAUAUCAACACUUUCCAAACCUUCUUCUUGAGAUCAUUAACUGACGGCAGCGCCUUAGCAACAUCAUAUACAUCUUUGUUCUUCUCUCUAGUUUCCAACCAAUAUCCCGACUUGACUGUAUAAUCCCCACUCUUGUUGAAUUUCCAUGUCCAAGUCAUCAAAAUCCAUCAUCGGCUGUUUUUUCAUCACACUAUUAACAUCACCAGGCACAAAGAUCUCUUGGAGCUUGUUUAUAUCCCAUCGUCUGCUUUGAAAAUCAAUAAGCUGAUCCGCCUUCAGCAUCACAUCAAAAGAGUAGUUUUUAAUCCAAGGAGCUCUAAGUCCUUCUUCCUCAUCAUCUGCCUAUCUAUCCAGUCAUACGUUAAUCGAGUCACCAUUUUCCAUGUUUUUAGGCUUUUAACCUGAAAAUAUCUUCCCCACAGCAGACUCCUCCACGUGUAGGAUGGACGAACACUCAAUUUAGCCUCUAAGAAAUUAACCUCCGGGAAAUACCUACUUUUAAAAAAUAGAAAAAGUAGAGAGUUUGGUGACGUUAACACCUUCAAAGCCUGCUUCGCCACUAAAGCUCUGUUGAAACUUUCCAAGUCCUUAAACCCAGCACCACCCAAAUUUUCGGGCAAACACAACUUAUCCCAAGCAAUCCAGUGAGUUUUUCUAUGAUUUUCAUUAGAACUCCACCAAAAGGCUGACAUUGCACUAGAAAGAUUAGUGUCGAUCUUUUUAGGGAGUUUGUGGCAGGACGUUGCGAAGACUGGCAUGCCCGAUGUUGUUGCUUUUAGAAAUACCUCCUUCCCCCUUUGAUAUAGCUUCCUUAGGUACCAUUAUGACAGCCCAACUUUCAUUAUAUCCUUGAAGUACGCAAACAAGUCAAGCUUUGAUCCAUUGAAACAUUCCGACAGCCCUAGAUACUUACUUGCACCCCCUUCAUUAAAGAUACCAAAGAUAGCUUGGAUUUUGCUUUAUCCUGUUCAGCCACAUGCUUCCAAAAAGAUAGAGGAUUUCUUCACAUUGCUAGUCUAUCCGGCCGCAGCCCCAUAAACACUAAGUAUAUUAUGCAAGGUUCGAGCCUGACCCUCCUCUGCAUAAUACAUGGACAAGUUAUCAUCUGCAAACAAAAGAUGGUGAACCAUCAGUCCUUGCUCCGAGAAUCUAAACCCACAUAAAUUUCCAUCUCUUUCUGCUAGAUUCAGGCGAUCAGAUAGUCCAUCUGUACACAAGACGAACAGAAAGGGAGAGAAUGAAACUCCUUGUCUAUUACCUCUUUGGGGAGAAAUGAGACCAAAGGGUAAAUUAUUAAUCAGCACUGGAAAGAUGAUAGUAGAGACGCAAACCAUGAUCCACCUCACCCAAAUUCUAUCAAAUCCAAACACCAACAACAAGUGUCGCAUAUAACUCCACUCGAUCUUGUCAUAGGCCUUGCACAUGUCAGUCUUCACUCUCUUUCUUCCCACUGAGAUGUUAGGAUGAGUACGCAAAUCAUAGACUGCCUCGUGGAAAAUGAUGAUGUUAUUAGGUAUGUUCCUUUAACUCACAAACACCGAUUGAUUAAUUGAAACCAUGGACGGGAGCAGAGGCUGAAGACAUCUAACCAGAACUUUGGAAUUGAUCGUAUACAGUAUUGAACAUAUACUGAUGGGACACAAGUCUGUCAUAAGCUGCGGAUUCUUGAAUUUUGGCAGAAGGCAUAAAUGCUUAAAAUUCCAUUUGGUUGGCAUAAUACCAGAAUCAAAGAAAUUUUGAACCUCCUUUGUGACUUGCUGACCCACCACAUCCAAGUACUUUUGAAAAAAAAAAACAGUCACUCCAUCAGGCCUUGGGGCAGUCAACGGUUUGAUAGCAAAUACAGCUUCACGGAUCUCUUCAUCCGGUAUCCUUGCCACUAGAUCAGCAUUCAUCUCAGCAAUAACUUUGGGAGCCAUACAGCAGAAGAAAGCCUCAAAACUACUUGGAUUCGACGAUUUACACAGGUUUGAGAAAUACUCCACCGAAACCUCUCCUUUCGCCGCCUCAAACCAUUGUUCCACCCCAUUUGAACCCAAUAACUUAAGAAGUCUGAUUCUAGUUCUGUUUGCUUCGACGAGAUGAAUAUUUUAUUUUCCGUUUAAUUAUCUUCUUCUUUUUACUUUUUUUAUUCUUAAGAUUCCGUUAAUUUUAUAGUGCCGAUCUCAGACAUUAUUUGUUGAAGGAAAACAUUUGGUGAAAACACAAUGGAUUGAAAAAUCUUUGUAUUUUGCUUUUACACUAUAUAAUUACUCAACCAUAUAUGUCGUAGUAAAUAUAUCUAAUUUUUGGUGUACUAUUUUUUUCUUUGUAGAGAGUGAAACUUCUAAUCAUCGAUGAUGGCUUCAGUAAGUGAUAACAUGUAAAAUAAAUAAUAAGCGAUUCAAUUGAGGCGGUAAACAACAACAUAUACUUACCGUGGACAAAACAUAACUGAACGGUUCGACUGACCGGUGUUUGCCUCUGAACUAGUCUCGUUCCCCUUUCUACGAGAUGGUUUAUAAUCUCAGGACCAGAAAUGUGCAUGCAGAUUCUCUCGCCAAAGAGGCAAAAAGCAGUGAUGUUCUCUUUUUCCAUGUAGAUCAGAUUCGGCAGACCGAGUGUCUUUACGUGAUUACUCUAACUCGACCACCACUGUUCUGUUAUUGUGAGCGUUGACAAAAAAACAAAAUGAAACCGUUCACUACACCGCCAACAAUUUCUAUCAAUAGAUGUGAUCAUCAAUUUAGAGUGUGAUUGGAAACACAUUGGAGUAAUUAGGUGAAAAACAAAUAGAGUUAAAAAAGUGGAAAAAAAGUCAAAAACUAAAGUAAAUGAGAGUAAAAUAAACACAUUUAUUUAUUUAUAUUAUUUAUUUUAAGUACAACUUGAAAUAAGACCGUAAAUUUUUUUACUCCUAAACCAUAAAAAUAAAAAAUAAAAGAUGUAGUAAAAUAGAACAACUACUUUUAUUCUAUUUUUCACCAAUUGGUAAAAAUAGAGUAAAUGAGAGUAAAAUACUUUUACUCGAUUAAUUUUACUCUAAGGUCUAUACAGUCGCACCCUUAAUUGAUAGCUUCAUUCUACAAUCAGCAACAAAUCAUCAGUUACAUAGAUGACAAUUUUCAGCCAACUUCAGCAACUCUCCAACUUUGGUUUGGCAGAUCUUUACCGGCAAUAAUUCAUCAGCUCACUAAUCAGGGAAUUUUAAAUGGUGGGCUGACUUUUUUAUUAUUAAUAUGAUUAAUCCUAGUACAUAUGGUUUACAAUAAUACAUGUAUGAAAUGAUAAAAUAUUCAUUACUUUUUAUUAUUUAUUCAUAUUAACUAUAUACAAAAUUACAAAGGGAAAUAUAUUUUAUAGGAUGUAUAUAUUAAUUUGAUAUAAAAUUUAUUCUACCAAGUACGUAAUAUAUAUAUAUAUAUAUAAUUUAUUGUGGAUAAUGAAAACAAAAAUUAAUUCAUAUAAUAAUAAUAAUACCAAGUUACAAAAGAUAAUAUUGCAGUAACAUCACGCAGCUGGUUGACUCUUAGGUCCGAAUGGUAACUGCAUUUUUGACAAUAUACGGUUCAAUUGCGGUUCGUGCGUUAUGCUUGAAUAAGUGCGGUUUUUACAUAAUAAGCAGUGUAGAAUAUGUUUGAUUGGUGAAAGUAUUUGCGUUUUGAUAGAGAAAUAUUUAAGAUAAUAUGGAAGGAAUCUCUGAAUAUUUUAGGUAUUUAGUUGUGAACUAGGUGUUUUGCCCGCAUAUGCGGUCAUAGCAUUCUUAUGAAUACUUAUUAGUUUAUUUUUAUUAAUUAAAAACCAUCACAAUAAGUUAUUAUUUAUGUUUUCAAAAUGUUUAAAGCAAAUAUCAAAUUAUUUAUAUAUGAAAAAAAAAUUCUUAACAUAUAUAUGUUUAUUAUUUUUUUGAAAUUUUAAAUACACUCACAUAUUAUAAAUAUUUUAGAAAAUAUCUUUAUACAAAUGUUUUAUUAAUUAAUAUUUAAUUGUAAUUGUUUUAUAUAUUAAUAUUUAAUUAAACGUUGUUUUAUAACUUAAUUUUUUAACUUAAUAACAUAAAAUAUUAUUUUAAGAUAACAACACAAUAUAUGAGAAUUAGCCUAUUUUUUUAAAAAUCAUAUAUUAUUAAUAUAAAAUCCGUUAAGGGUAUUUAAUAAAAUUCAGUUAUUUAUUAUUCAUUAAGAGUAUAAAUGAUAUUAACACUCUAAGUUUCAACGUGAGAGCUAUUUUACUAAAAAUCACUUCGCAAAUAAUAGUAUAGAAGACUAUGUGUGUUUGUCCGCACAUGCAUUUAUAAUCUUAUUACGUAUACUUAUUAACUUGUGUUUUAUUAAUUCAAAAACAAGCAUAAUAAGUUAUUAUUUAUGUUUUCAAAAAAAUUAAUCAAACAUCAAAUUAUGUACAUAUGACAAAAAAAUUAAUUAAAAUAUAUAUGUUUAUUAUUGUGUUGAAAGUUUAAAAACACUUACAUAGUAUAAAUAUUUUAGAAUAUAUAUUUAUACAAAUGUUUCUUCUUGAUUAAUAUUACAUUAUAAUUUUUUUGUAUCUUAUUUUUUAACUGUUAUAAAAGAAAAUAUUAUUUCAAGAUAACAACAUAAUAUAUAAAAGUUAUCUUAUAUUUAAAAAUAUUAUAUUAUUAAUAUAAAUUCGUUUUUAAUUAUAUAUAAAAAUUAAUUAAGGGUAUCAUUGACAUUAACAUCAGAAGUGAUUGAGAUGAAACACCAAUUAGAAGUAUGAUCUCACAUUAACAUCAGAGGUGUAAUCACAACGCCUUCUGAUUUUAUAAAUAUAUUUUGCUGUAUGAACUACCUUAGUAUGAAGUAUAAACACACUCGCAAAAAGAGGGCGUGUGAAAAUUCGAAAACGUAACAUCAUCGAUUUGCAAGUUGCAGUUUGAUUGGUUCUUGGCUUGUUGCAUAGUGGAGGCAAACAAACACGUUUUUAUUGAAGUUUCUGUUAUUUGUAUUAACACAAAAUACGUUUGCAACCCACAUUUUAAAAAAAAAGUAUGAACACCAAGUCUAAGAGGAAUGUCCCCCAUUCAUAAUAUCAACGAUUUCACUCUAUCACUCACCCAAAAAUAUUUAGACUGCACAGUGGUCUCAUAGUGUGAUAUAUGGAGGAGUGUAGAAAGCUCGAUAUGAAUUCAAUGCCAUGUGUGGCUGGCCAGAGAUCACUAGCGAUUAUGGCUUUAAGCAGGCCAGUUGAAGCAGCAGUCCGGGCUGUGGGGAGGCUCAAUAGUGUAUGCAUGAUAUUCUUUUCUUACCAAGAACAACAAGGAUCUAAUAAUGGUAACAGAUAGCAAAGACGCAAAAAUACUAUUUUACCAACAACAUUAAUCAUUCGUUCUGUACAAUGCACCCCUCCAGAAGUAAAAUAUCAAAUUCAUUUCUGUGAUGCCCUUUAUUCCCAUUAAAUCCCACCACCAAACAAACUUUGCCCUCAGUAAUAAAAAAAACAAACAAAUUGACUUACAAAAACAACAGCAACAAAAACACAGGGGCAACGAAUAUUAAUGCAACAAAAUUACACCAACACAAACACACCAAAAAUAUCCUCUCGACCAGAAGUUUUCCACAAGUUCAACUUCUUGAUUGACCAAAACCUAAGAACCACAUAUACAUUCUUCGCAUUCAUGUGAGGAGGGAAAGAAAUGCAACGUACCGUACUGUCUUCGACCAUUGCACCAGCUCUUAGGCUCGCUGCGACUGUCUUUGCCCUCGGGCCACAACGGUCUUAGACAAAAUCUCUUCAAGAUAUUCGCAGCGACCUCUAUGGUGAUCAAUCCACAUACAUAAUUGCCUUAUUGCUUCUCUUUUCUCUUCUCCAAGUCCCAUCAAAUUCUCCUUCAUUGUCUCCUUCUCCUUUUCAUCUUCUCUUACCUUUUCUCCAAGCUUUUUUAUCUCCUCUUCUUUCCUCUCCAUCCCUUUCUUCAUCUUCUCCAUCUCGUGAUUCCUCUCUAUUAUCCAAUUCGUAGCAGUCCACAGUAGUUUAGAUGCCUCCAUUACCGUUUUCUCGUACUUCCCUUGCUUCUCCGUGAUUUUUUCCGACAUUGACUGAAACUCAUCAAGUGUUGUGUUCACUUUCCCAGCCAUCUCUUUUAUCAUACCUCGAUAUGUCUCAUGAGUCACCUUAAGGCUUUUCUCAAGCAAUGCUUGUUCCUCUAUGUGCCUAGCUUCUUCUCUCCUGAAAGCUUCCUCUUUCUCUGUUAACACCUGUUCAGUUACCCUCAGUUUCUGGUUCGAUAAACGAAGCUUAACCUCGAUGUUACUGAUUUUCUCCAUGAGAGUUUCUAUCUCCUCUCCUUUCAUUUCUAGCUCGUUACGUAAACUCUCCAUCGUUUCUUGAUGACCUGCGAUUGCUGAAUCUCUGGAUGUUACUUCAUGACCUGUUUCCUCCAGCAAUCUUUGGGCUUCUUUGUGAUCCUCUGCUAGCUUAUUAAGUAUCUCCUCACGUUCUUUUAACAGUUGGCUGAUCUGUUUGUGUUCCUCUCCCAGUGUAUUGUAAGCAGUUUCUUGCUCUACCAAUGCUCUUUUGACAUCAAUGAUCUGAUUAGACAAUUCUGAUUUCUCUUGCUUCUCUCUAUCAAGCUCUGCUUCGGUCUCACUCUUCUUGACCUGCAGUGAAUCAAGUUCAUCCUGCAGAUUGUUGAUCUGUUCUGCUAAGGCCACUGUUUCAGUCGAUGCUUCGUUAAUCUUAUCGCGCAUUUGAACAAUCUCUCCUGUUUUAGUUCUUAGCUCCUCCUCAAGCUCACUUCUCUGUUUCUGUAGAGUCUCUAUCUCAACUUCAAGACCCUUGAUCUUCUCAGAUAAACCAUUUCUCUCUUCUAGAAUAUUCUCGUGAUCUUUGACCUUGCUUAUGAUCUCAUCUUUUAGAUUUGUAAUCUGACUCAUAUAUUCAGAGCUCUCCUCGGACUUCCUCUCAAGUUGGAGCUCAAGUUCUGCUUUCUGGCUUUCAAGUGACGCCACUUUCUGGCCCAGACCAUUGAUCUCAUCCAUCAAACCCUUAAUCUGCAUUGAAGCUUCAUUGCCUUUGCUCUCCAUUAGUUUCUUUAACUCCUCCUUUUGAAGAGACACUGAAUCUAGUCCGGCCCGUAGGCCAUCGAUCUCAGCUGUCAAACUCUCAAUUGUGGACGACGAUUGCUUCUCGUUAUCCUCAAGUUUUUGGGUUAAAGCAGCGAGUUCAGUACCUCUCUCGUCCAUUGUCUUCUCAAGUUCCGAGAUUCUAGCAACCAUUUCUCUGUUUUGCGCUUCCAGUUGCUCAAUUUCAGUGGUCUUGCCUACAAUCUCUGUCUCAAGAUCUACUGUACGAGCACGAACUGACUGUAUCUCCAGCUCAAGGGUCGCUACUGUUUCUUCUAGGACUUUUAUUUUCAACUGUGAUUUGCUUUCCUUCUCUGUCAGAUGUAAAAGUUCUGCUUCUUUCUCAGCAAGCUGCUCUUUCAGUUUGCUUGACUCAACUGUGAGUUCUUGUAACGUGAUCUGUACCCUUUUGAGCUCCCCUGAAGUAUCUGAUAUUUUAGUCGACAUGGUUUUGUUUUCUUCCUCUGCAAUCUUCAGACUUUCACUCUGAUCAGAAACCCUUUGUUCAGAUGACUUCAGUUGCGCUUCUAACUCUCUUAGUUGAGUGGAUGAUUCUCUCUGAUGAGUCUCAUGGAUAUCCCUCAAACCGAAAAGUUCCUUCUCUUUCUCACUGUGGCUCUCUUUUAACUGUCCAGACUCAGACAUGAGUUCUUGUAUGGUGUUCUCCGCCUGCUUGAUUUCAUUCGACAUCUCUGAAAUUCGCUGAGAUAACAUUUUCUUCUCCUCCUCAGCACUGUUCAGGCUCUGGUUCAAAUCUCUAACUCGUUGCUCUGCUGAUUCCACCAGCGCUUCUAAUGCUUCCACUCGACUUGAUGAAUCUCUCUUAUGUGCCUCGUGUACCUCCACCAAACUAGAAAGCUCACUUUCUUUUUGUAUGUGUAUAUCUUUCGAUUCUGCCAAUUCAGCCAUUAGUUCUUGUACCUUGUUCUGCGUCUGUUUGAGCUCGUCUGUAGUUUCCAAGAUCUUCGAAGACAUGGAUUUGCUUUCUUCCUCUGCAACAUUCAGACUCGCACUCAACUCUGAGACCCGCUGUUCCGAUGAUUUCAGUUGAGCUUCUAACUCACUCGUGCGUGUGGAUGAUUCUCUCUGAUGAGUCUCGUGGAUGUCCCUCAAACCAGAAAAUUCUCUUUCUUUCACAUUGUGGCUCUCUUUCAACUGUUCAGUCUCAGACACGAGUUCUUGUAUCGUGUUCUGCGCCUCUUGAAUCUCGUUGGAAAUUUCUGAUAUUUUCUGAGAGAGCAGUUUCUUCUCUUCCUCUGCAUUGUUCAGACUUUUGUUCAAAUCUGCAACCAAUUUCUCUGAUAAUUCCACUUGAGCCUCUAAUUCUAUCACAUGACUCGCUGAUUCUCUAAGCUGGGUCUCAUGUGAGUCCACCAAACUGGAAUGCUCAAUCUCCUUUUCCUUGUACCUUUCUUUCAUCUCUCCCAGGUCAGCGAUUAGUUCCUGAAUCGUCUUUUGUGCCUGUUCCAACUUGUCUGUAGUUUCCAAAAUUUUCGAGGAAAUAGCUUUGUUUUCUUCCUCUGCAGCCUUCAGACUAGCAGUCAUAUCUGAGACGCGCUGUUCUGAUGAUUUUAGUUGAGCUUCUAAUUCACUCACUCGGGUGGAUGAUUCUCUCUGAUGAGUCUCAUGGAUGUCCCUCAAACCAAAAAUUUCUCUCUCCUUCACACUGUGGCUCUCUUUCAACUGUUCAGACUCAGACAUGAGUUCUUGUAUGGUGUUCUCCGCCUUUUGAAUCUCGUUAGAGAUUUCUGAGAUUCUUUGAGAGAGCAGUUUCUUCUCUUCUUCUGCAUUAUUCAAGUUUUGGUUCAAGUCUACAAUCAACUUCUCUGAUGAUUCUACUCGUGCUUCUAAGUCUUUCACUUGAGUGGAUGAUUCUUUCUCAUGGGUCUCAUGUAACUCCACCAAACUAGAGUGCUGACUCUCUUUUUCCUUGUAUUUUUCUUUCACCUCUCCCAAUUCGGAAGUGAGUUCUUGUAUGGUGUUCUGUGCCUGUUGGAUCUCACCUGAAAUCUCCGUAACUUUCAAGGAUAGAGAUUCGUUCUCUUCCUCUGCACUACUCAUUCCGCGGGUCAGAUCAGAAACUCUCUGUUCUGCUGCUUCUAGCUGCUGCUUGAAAUUAGUAGCUUCAUCUUUGAGUUGAUCACUCGUUGUUUUCCAGUCUUCUGCAAUUUUCUCAGCUUCUUGAAAUCUUUUGAUACCAUUGUCUAUCUCAGUUUGCAGUUGAUCUCUUUCUUUUUUCACAUCUUCUAACUUCUGGUUCAGAUCAGUUUCUGUUCUGCCAGCAACUUCCAGUUUCUGACGUAGUUCGCUGCUAUCACUCAGAGCUGUUGUCUUUUCGCCCUCUAACUUCUCUGUUUCAAGUUUCAAAUUGCUGAUGAUCUCUUCUGAUUCUUUUAACUUCACCAAAGCUGCUUCAAGCUCGGAAUCUACUGCUUCUUUUUCUUCAACACUCGUUGUCAACUUAUUUUUCAGAUUAGCAAUUUCAUGAUCCGCAGUUUCAAUUUGUUGCUUCAAGUCAUCUUUCUCUACUUUUCCAUUUUUCUUGGUCUCUCUCCUCGAAGAAUGGUCAGAAUCCGAGUCUGAGCUCGAUGAAGAAGAGUUUUCUCCUUUCUCGUGGACCUUUUUCCUAAUCUCUCCCGUUAUAUCAUAUAGAGACUGGUACUCCUUGUGGAGUUCAUUCACCAACUCUGAAACCACCUGUCGUUUAGAUUUAUCUUCAUCGAUGUUUCCACUCUCAACCAUUCCCAAGAUUUUCUUCACCUUUUCAUCUAUUUCUGCACCAGAUGAUGAAAAUACUUUUCACGUAAGUAUAUUUAUCAAAUCAAGAGCUACGGAUUUCAUUGGACAUGUGAAACAAAACAUAAUAUUGUAGGAAAAUUACCAGAUUUGGUUACUUUAAGCAUUUCAUCUUUCUCAUGAUCAAAAUGAGGCUCAAAGAAAGACUUCAAGGUCUCUCUAAACCGAUGCUUUCUCAUAUCUUUUUCUUCGGUCUCUCCAAUUACUUGUUCAACUUAACAAUUAGAGGUCUUGGAAACCCAGUAUUCAUUCAUCUGUGAACAAUACACAGAGAAACAUAUCAGAAGAAACGCUAAGAUCAGCAGAACAAACUUGUUCAAAUUAAAUGCCAUUAUUUAAAUAAGAAAAGAGGUGCCAUCCUUUUCACAUUCAUUCCCGUAAAUAUAUAUAAUGCGACUAACACAUUACUAAACUAAUGAUAAAUUUGGCUGCAUAGAUCCGCAUCUUGGUUUCAGCAGAGAGAGAAUAUAAUAAUAUAGAACUCUGACGAGGUAUACAGGCAAUAAUGUAACUUGUGGGUCCCGCAAAGAAUAUCGGUAGAUCAUCAUGGGUCCGAAACUUGAAUCAUUCAGUAUUUCUUACUAGUUCUGUCCUCUUACCAAGUGAUAAGGCUAACUUAUAAACGUAAAUUAAUAAGAAAUUGGAUUAACGCUGAUCCCUUUACAGUGCCGGGUCUAAGUUGGUAACUCAUGGAAUUGGGUGAGACGAGAAAUAUCAUGUGGAGCCACCUCAGCAAGUUAGGAAAAGCACAAACCUCUAGAACGAUAAAAGACAGCUAUGAUAGCUCAGAAAAUAUGAGUUGUUACUUUUUGUUCUUAUGUUACCCCUUUUAACAAACUACAUAAAUAAUACAGUUUCAAAUAAACCAAUCUCGAUCCGAUCUUAAAUAAGCAUAUUAUAAACUAUAUUUUAGAAAGGAAUUUACUGCCUAGCAAAACGGUAAAUAUAGGGAGGAGUUUCUAGUUUCUCUUACCCCUUUUCCUUAGAGCUCCAGGGAAGAUCCAGAAUCAACUUAAUGGGUUUAGCCUGUAUGGAUAAGAGAAAAGAUCAAUGUAUAAUUCUGAGGAAUAAAUUUGUGGAAAAAAAGUUACGAGGAUUCAAAGCAGUUAAUUAGUGGAAGCUUCUUAAUGACAAAUCUUGGUAACAUGAUAGCAAAAUCUAAUGUAUCAAUUUCAGAUAACAAAACAAGCAGGUGUGAAAAGGGAAGCUCGUGACAUUUAUUUUACCUUAGAAACUCGAACGCUUCUUUACCGAAACUGCGAGAUCAGCGAUAACCUCUGUAUGAUUGAUUAACUGCAAAUGAUCAGAUGUGAAAUUAGAAUAAUCUGAGAAAAAAUUAAGAAGCAAAGAUAUGAACUAAUCCAGUAAAGAAAAUCAUCAUCAUCGACGAAGAAAAAGAAAGUUAUGUUUUCAUCUAACACUAGCGUAAACUAAAUCGAAGAAUCAAGCGACCUAAGUACUUGCUCAAAUCAACGAUAAUCUAAACCACGCGGAGAAAUCGAAGCUACCAAAAUCAGCGAGAAGUUGUACCUGGAGACGGAAGCUAGGGAGAAUCGAGAUCACGAAAACUUGUAGAAGAAACGAAAGAGAGGAGGAGGAGAAUCUCUCUCUCUCUCAAUCUCUGUGUUUCAACGAUGAAAAGAUUACGAAAUUGAAAAUCGAUGCGAGGGAGGGAGAGAGAUUGAAGAAGAAGAAGAAGAUGAAUAAAGUGAUUUGGUUUUGGACUUAUGUGGGAGAACAGUUAGGAGCACAUAAAAUUUUGUUUUUUCAAUUUUUGAGGAGACGAAUGAGAGAAUCUUUUUUCUUUUUGGGAAAAUUUGUCUUCCACAAACGCUCCUUUCUUUAUCGGAUUAUUACGCUUCUGCCACUAUCGUAAUUUCUUCGCUUCUCGUCAUGGCGGUCAAAAUAUCAUUUGACUGUUGUUCAUUUUAUUUACGCUUCUGCCACCACUAAUAUAUACAUCUUGAUUUUUUUUUCUUUUUCUUGGGGCAUCAUGGAUGAUUAAUUGGCUGAGGAGUGGGCAUUUUACCCGAUACCCAAACCCGUAUCCGAACCCGAUCUAAAAAACCCGAUCCGAAAAACCCGAACCGAAAUCCGAAUCAAAAUAGCAAACUAUCUGAAUGGGUAUUGAUUUAGGAGAGAUUGGAUAUCCGAACCCGAACGGGUAAUAUCCGAACCCGAAUGGAUAUCCGAGGAUAACCGAAUAUAUAUAUACUUAUUAAUUGGCUGAGGAGUGGGCAUUUUACCCGAUACCCAAACCCGUAUCCAAACCCGAUCUAAAAAACCCGAUCCGAAAAACCCGAACCGAAAUCCGAAUCAAAAUAGCAAACUAUCCGAAUGGGUAUUGAUUUAGAAGAGAUUGGAUAUCCGAACCCGAACGGGUAAUAUCCGAACCCGAAUGGAUAUCCGAAGAUAACCGAAUAUAUAUAUACUCACCCUUUUAUUUUUUAUUUACAUCUCUCAUUUUAUUUAAAAUAUUUAUAUUGAUAUUAUAAAUAUACAUAUAAUUAUGAAGAAAAUGAUUUGUCACUCUAUUAAAAUGCAUGUCAAAUUUUUUGUUUUAUAUAUUAACAAAAGUUAUAUUCAAAAUUUCAAAACAAUAGCCAAAUUAAUGUUUAUUUAUUUUUGAAAUGUUAUCUCCAAAUAUAUCAAUCAUUCAAUCUAUUAAAAAAUAAAAAAUCAGUUUAGUGAAUUCUAUAUUUUUAAAUAGAAUAAACUUAAAAAUGAAAAUUUUAAUUUUUUUUCUUUCAAAAUCUCAAUAUCCGAACCCGAUCCGAAAUAACUGAAUCCGAACUAAAAAUAUCCGAACCCGAUCCGAAAUAUAGAAUUACCCGAACGGGUUCUAUAACCCUAUACCAAAAUACCCGAUCCGAACCCGAAUGGGUAUUCAAACGCCCACCGCUGUUGGCUCAUGAUUAACGCAUUCCGGCCUUUUCUUUGAGCAACAAAUAUGACCUCAUUUUUUAUUUAGGGUAAUUGCAUCACAUAAAAAAUUAAGAUUAAAUAUGCCCUCGUUUAAUUUUGUAAUUCUGUACUGACUAAUUAGUAAAACAAUCAAUAAGACUAAUCCCACAUUAUAAUCCCAAAAACUAAGACUAAUUUUGUUUCUCCUUUAUCUUGACACCAUUUUGUGAUUUGUUCCUACAUAAUGUAUUAAUAUUAAUAUAAUUAUUAGAUUUUAAAUUUACAUUCGUAUGAUCUAUAUUCUUUCGCGUCAACAUAUCAUAUGGAGUAUAAAGCAGUCAUAUAUUUUUUUUUAUCUUUUUAACGUCAAACGGUCAUUCUCUUACUCAAAUUUGAGGUAGCUUGGGUAACCAGACCGGAAUAGAACAAUCAAUAAAAAGUAACUCUCUAUGGAAGGAUCUAGCAGUUUUGGCUAAGAAAUCUGAAAUUUGAUUACGCGCUCGUGAUCUCUUUAGCUAAUCUUGUGACUUUGGUCGUUAAUUCAUCGCCUUCUUCAAGCUUUUUUACUAUCAUCUCUGGUCCAGCAAGCCCAUUAUCCACCAUUUCUUUGAUUUUCUCGAAUUGGGUUUCAGAGACAGUGUAAUCUCCUCUGUUUCCUUGUGUUUGUGUGUUCAUAUAGUUGUUCUUGCUUUCCAAGUGUAUUUGUUCGGCUACAUGGAUCCUCCUGUACAGUAUCCGGAUGCGAUCUUCCAUUUUCAUCUGGAAAUCUUCAGAUAAUUCCUCCAUUUUCCUCUCGAGAAGAUUGGUAUUCAGCUUUGAACCAAUUGACCAACGUUUCAUUAGCUUCUGAUCCUCUGAGAACUUGUCAAUAACGUCUUUCUGUUCUUUAACAAGUUUCUUUCGGUCCUUGAUCUCCAUUGAUAGCCUGCAAGUCAAUCAAAACUCAAUGGUAACACACAAACUUCACUUUUAACUCAAGCUACCUUAAAGUAUAUAACAAUCUUUGUUGUUUCCUACCGGUGUAUGGUAUCUUCUUGUUUCUUACUCUUAUCUUCAAUUUCAUCAAUGUUUUUCAUCUGUCUCUCUUUUUGUAAUGAAUCAAGAUCGGCAAUUCUUGCAUGCAUCUUGUGAUUCUCUUCCCUAAGAUGGUCAAGUUUCUGAACUUUGUUCCUCAAAGCUUCCUUUUCUUCAACAUUCUUCAGCUCGGCCUUAGCUCGCUUCUCUUUUUCUCCCUCCAAACGCUUCAGUUUCAUAUGUAUCUCCGAAGCUUCAUCGGUUUUCUUCUUCAGCUUCGAUGCUAAUUCAUCCUUCUGGUUACGCAACAAUGCAACUUCACCUUUUGUCAUCAAAUGGUUCCUGUCCUCGUUUCUCUUGCCUAUGACAUUACCCGCCUGUUCCAUUUCCUGUUUCAGACUGCUCACCUGUCUCUUCAAAUCUUCAUUUGUUGACUCUGUCUCUUGUAUCUUUCUGAGCAUCGCCGCAUAAUCUGAGCUCAAUGUUUCACUAACAUUACCGGUGCUGAUCUCUGUUUCCUCUGAAGAAAAGUAAUCCAAGUCCGAACUAGACCUCGAUGAAGAAGCAGCAGCAGCAGCACCCGGUUUUCCUUUUCUUCCACCACUCUCCAAAUCAUGAUGAUAUAAAGAGUAAAGCAGCUGACACUGCUCGUGAAGGUCGUUGACGAUCCCAACAAGCUCCUUCUUGGCAACAUUUGGGAUCUUGUUUUUGUUUUGGAUAUACUUCAAGAGUGUAGUAACCUUCUUCUCCACUUCUGCACAUGUAGAGCAACAUAUAUAUAUAUAUAGAGAGAGAGAGAGUUUGGAAACAUUUGCCUCAUCAUAAUCUUAAACUAAUGAGCAUUGUAAGAAGAGUUCUUACUAACCUUCUUUUGCCUCCUCCAUUUUUCUUCUUUUGAUUUAAAAUGCUCAGGAGCUUAAUCACAGAUAAAAAGAAGGAUCAAACGUUAAAAGAAACUCUGAGAAGAGACACAAAGAAACAAAUUUAAUUUAUUAUUUGCAUAGAAUACAUGCGAAACAUAGCAGCCUUCUUUUAAACACAAAUUUCCAAAAUAGCACAUUUCUAAUUUUAUGUCAAAAAAUAGUCCUCAAAAAUUAAAAUGACCAAAAUAGCAUUUUAUCUUUUGAAAAAUUUAAUUUUUUUUUAUUUUUCAAAAUUUGAAAUCUUAUCCCAAAACCCCACUUCCCAACUCUAAACCCUAAAACCUAAACCCUAAACCCUAAUCCUAAACCCUAAACCCUAAAUCCUAAACCCUAAACCCUAAAUCCUAAACCCCACCCCUUAACUCUAAACCCUAAACUCUAAACCCUAAACCCUAAACCCUAAACCCUAAAUACUAAAUCAUAAACCUCACCCCUUAACUCUAAAUCUUAAUGUCUAAAUUAAUUUACAAUUGCGGUAUAAGUGUAUAUUUAUCUCUUUUGAUAAAACAUUAAAUGUUAUUUUGGUCAUUUUUAUUCUUAAAGACUAUAUUUGUGACAAAAACUUUUUUAGUGCAAUCCUAGUUAUUUUCUCUUCUUUUAACUUGACGUGCAAGUUAAUCCAAAAUAGAAAAAGAAAAAUACAACAUGAUCCUUGAAUCAGUUCAUUGAGAACAAACUGGAAUCUAGUCCUCUCGACCACCCGAACAAUUUCCAAUUAUGAAGUGGCAAAAUAAUAUGGACGUAACAAAAAAAAUGCACUGAAAUUGAAAAAAAAAAACAAGAAGAACUAUAAAAAAAAAAUAAACACAAAGAAGCAAGUAAACAGAAAAGUCAUGGGAUGUAAGUAAAAAAAAAGAAUCGUCAUAUGAUCCUAGAAUCAAUUGCACAUAGAACAUAAUUUGAAACUAGUACUAUUCAUCAAAUCCUUUUUAUCACAAGCAGGCUUUUCAACUCACAAUUAAUUAUCAUAAGGGAUCAGGAAGAAAAAAUGGGACACAUCCAUCCUUUUUGCAGCUUACUUGUGCAUCACGACUCAUUAGGGUUCCAAAGUAAAUAAUAGAACGCAGACCUAAAUAUCAGAAACUAGAGAAAUAAAUAAAUUAUUACGAAAGCAGCCACCGCAAUUGUUGAAAAUAAAAAGAUGUGGGAUCCGCUGUACUAUUUACACAGUAAAUCCUACUCUUUAACUUCUAUAUAAACGAUCGAUUCGAUCGUUUAUAAGACACACCUCAACUUCUCUUCUCACUUCUAAUAAAUACUCUCUAUCAGUGUUAUUAUUUCUACGGAUAUACAUUUUGCCCUUAUUUAAAUUCUCGCGAUACAAUAAAAUUCCAGUUCUUUUUAUAUCACGUUAUCAGCACGAUCGUUCUUCAAUUUGAAAUACAAAUGGAAAACGUAGAGAAGCUCCAAUUUCCAGUUUUAGACAUCACUGGUACCAACUACAUUUCAUGGGUUACAAAUGUUGAACUUCAUCUUGAAUCUCUUGGUCUAUCCCAGACCGUUAAAGAGAAUAAUACUUCAACUCCUCAAGAAAAGGCUAAAUCGGUGAUCUUCCUUAGAAGACACCUUGAUGAAAGUAUUAUUUAUGACUAUGCCAACAUGAGAGACCCUAAAGAGCUAUGGAAGUCUCUGAAAGAUCGUUUUGAUCAUCAGAAAGACAUAACACUUCCACUUGCUCGGGAUGAAUGGCAGAGUCUGAGAUUUCAAGAUUUCGACAAAGUGAUGAAUUACAAUUCUGCUGUGUUAGGAAUUGUGGCUAAAUUGAGAUACUGUGGUGAAACGAUCACCGAAUCUCAAAUGCUUGAGAAGACAUACACCACAUUCCACAAGAGCCACAUCACCCUGCAACAACAGUACAGGUUGCGGGGAUAUAACAAAUUUUCAGAAUUGAUUGUAGCUCUUCUCAUAGCAGAAAAGAACAAUGAGCUUCUGAUCAAGAAUCACAUGACCCGUCCAACUGGUUCUAAACCGUUUCCUGAAGCAAACGCAUUAGAUGCGAAGAAACCACUAAAGGAAAAUAAUACCUUUCGGGCUCGCGGUCGCCAAAACUACCGUGGACGAUGACGAAAGUACAAUCCAAAAGAUAGGAAGUCAUUCCAGUGGGUCCGCUCUGAACAAACCCCUAAGGGAAAAGAACACCAAGGAAAUACCUCCCAGAAGCGAGAAGAAGCUUGUUUCAGAUGCGGUACUAAGGGACACUGGUCUCGUUUAUGUCGUACCCCUGCACACCUUUGCGCUCUAUACAAGGAGUCCGUCAAAGGGAAAGAAAAAGAAGUAAACUUUGUGGAACACUCUCAGGGUACAACGCACCUCGAUGCGUCUGACUUUGUGAAUGAUUUCGAAGAGACCGCUAUCACGGAAGCUUAAGUGCCCAUCAUGUGACUCUUGAAAUUCCACAAUUAUACCAUAAAUAAUUGUUGUUUGUGGAAGAUUAAUGUAUAAUUAUUGUGUGUUUUUCACCUUCUUAUGUAUAAUUAUUGUGUGUUUAAUGUUUCCUAAUGAUGUAUAAUAUUUUAUGAAUAAUAUUAUCUUAUGUUUGUCUCAGAAAUGGACAUUACAAAUGGAACAUCAACCAAGAUCAAUACUAAAGAUAUUUGUAUACCAGAUAGUGGAACAACGCACACUAUUCUGAAACACAGAAAAUAUUUUUCUGAACUAAAACCGACAAAUAUCACUGUUAACACAAUAUCGGGUCCUGCAGACUUGAUUGAAGGGAUUGGUAAAGCCCAUUUCACAUUACCUAAUGGGACAAAAUUCUCGAUAAAUAAUGCACUAUUUUCUCCAAAUUCUAAAAGGAAUUUGUUGAGUUUUAAAGACAUAUAUCUUCAAGGAUUUGAUACUCAGUCUGCAACUGAGGAUGGAAAGAAGUAUAUGUAUAUUACUCUUGAGAAAUCGGGAAAACAAAAGGUAUUGGAAAAAUUACCAAAACUCUCUUCUGGUCUGCAUCAUACAUAUAUAAGUGCCCUUGAAUCACAUUUGGUGAUUAAGGAAAAUUCUAGUGAUUUUACACUAUGGCAUGAUCGUCUUGGUCAUCCAGGCACUACAAUGAUGCGAAAAAUCAUCGAGAACUCACAUGGUCAUUCACUGAAACCCCAAGAAGUUUAUCAAGGGAAUAAAAUGACAUGUAUUGCGUGUUCUCUUGGAAAGUUGAUUAUAAGACCAUCGCCAACCAAAAUAGAGAAAGAGUUACCAAAGUUCCUUGAACGAAUUCAAGGCGAUAUUUGUGGACCUAUACAUCCACCUUGUGGACCAUUCUAUUAUUUUAUGGUAAUGAUCGACGCGUCGAGUAGAUGGUCACAUAUUUGUCUAUUGUCCUCUCGAAAUUUGGCAUUUGCGAGAUUUUUAUCUCAGAUAAUCAAACUAAGAGCUCAGUUUCCUGAUUAUCCGAUAAAGAGAGUUAGACUGGACAACGCUGGUGAAUUUACCUCUCAAGCAUUCAAUGAUUAUUGUAUGGUAACUGGAAUUGAUGUUGAACACCCUGUCGCUCAUGUUCAUACACAAAAUGGUUUGGCUGAAUCAUUAAUUAAACGUCUGCAACUGAUUGCGAGACCAUUGAUCAUGAAAUCUAAACUCCCAACUUCCGUGUGGGGACAUGCUAUUUUGCAUGCAGAAGCACUGAUUCGGGUGAGACCAAGUGCAUAUCACAAAUACUCCCCAAUACAGUUAGCAUUUGGACGAGAACCAAAUAUUUCUCAUUUAAGAAUUUUUGGUUGUGCUGUAUAUGUGCCAAUUGUACCUCCCCAACGUACAAAGAUGGGACCCCAAAGGAGGUUAGGGAUAUAUGUUGGUUGUGACUCUCCAUCAAUUAUACGAUACCUAGAACCGCAAACUGGUGACAUGUUUACGGCACGAUUUGCCGAUUGUCAUUUCAACGAGAAAGAAUUCCCAACUCUAGGGGGAGACAAUAAGCAAAUAGGAAAAGAAAUCAAAUGGAGUGUACCAUCGUUAUUACACCUUGAUCCUCCUACGAAACAGUCAGAACUAGAAGUUCGACGUAUCAUGCAUUUACAAAAUAUAGCAAAUCAGCUACCUGAUGCAUUUGCUGAUACCAAAAUGAUAACUUAAUCACAUAUACCCGCUGCAAAUACUCCUGCUUGUAUUGGAAUACCACAAAACGGUAGAACGGCAGUUGAGACACGUGAAUCAGGAACACGUUUAAAGCGCGGUAGACCUAUUGGUUCAAAGGAUAAACUUCCUAGAAAACGUAAGGAGUGUGAAAAGCAUGAUACUCCCAAAAUAGCGGAAAAUAUUUUGGAAGAAGCGAAUUGUGAAUCUAACGACAAUAUAGAGCAUCAUGAAUCUGAAGGAAAUCACGAGAUUUCUAUCAAUUACAUCCAUAAUGGAAAGAUAUGGAAACGAAAUGAGAUGGAUGAUAUUGAUGACGUUUUCUCAUACCUUUUAGCAAAGGAAAUAAAUGAAGAAAACGAAGAUCCAGAACCAAAGUCUGUAUAUGAAUGUCAAAAGAGACAUGACUGGAUAAAAUGGAAAGAUGCAAUUCAAGUCGAAUUAGAUUCGCUUAACAAACGAAAUGUAUUCGGACCUAUUGUGCUCACACCCAAAGAUGUAAAACCAGUUGGGUACAAAUGGGUGUUUGUCCGAAAAAGAAAUGAGAAAAACGAGAUUACAAGAUACAAAGCUCGUCUCGUAGCCCAAGGUUUCUCUCAAAGGCCAGGAAUUGAUUAUGAGGAAACUUAUUCUCCUGUCAUGGACGCAAUCACAUUUAGAUUCCUGAUGAGCCUAGCGGCCAAUGAAAAUUUAGAAAUGCGUCUCAUGGAUGUCGUUACGGCAUAUUUAUAUGGAUCAUUAGAUACUGAUAUCUAUAUGAGAAUCCCAGAUGGAUUUAAAAUGCCAGAAACGUUAAGUUCCAAACCUAAAGAGUUAUGUGCAAUAAAAUUGCAAAGAUCAUUAUAUGGGUUAAAACAAUCUGGACGAAUGUGGUAUAAUCGUCUCAGCGAACACUUAACAAAAGAAGGAUACACGAAUGAUCCUAUAUGCCCUUGUGUUUUCAUAAAGAAAACAACAUCCGGAUUUGUGAUAAUCGCGGUGUACGUUGAUGAUCUUAAUAUUAUUGGAACUCAAAACGAAAUCCAAAAGGCAUCAAACUAUCUGAAAGGAGAAUUUGAGAUGAAAGAUCUCGGGCAGACAAAAUAUUGUCUAGGAUUACAAAUUGAGCAUUCUCGAAAGGGUAUAUUUGUACACCAGUCUACAUAUACCAAACGAGUAUUGAAACGCUUUAACAUGGAUAAAGCAACUCCUCUUAGCACCCCGAUGGUCGUUAGAUCACUUAAUGUUGAAAAUGAUCCGUUUCGACCAUCUGAGGAAAAUGAAGAAAUACUUGGUCCUGAAACUCCAUACUUAAGUGCAAUUGGAGCUCUUAUGUAUCUUGCAAAUUGUACUCGACCUGACAUAUCUUUUGCCAUUAAUCUUUUAGCGAGAUUCAGUUCGUCUCCUACGCGAAGACAUUGGAAUGGAAUUAAACAUGUCUUUCGUUACCUUCAAGGAACAACUGAUUUAGGCUUGUUUUAUCCUAAAAGUUCAAAAGGUCAAAUGAUUGGUUUUGCAGAUGCAGGUUAUUUGUCAGAUCCACACAAAGCUCGAUCCCAGACAGGAUAUGUUUUUACAAUUGGAGGCACCGCCAUAUCUUGGCGUUCUCAGAAGCAGACACUUGUUGCUACUUCUUCAAAUCACGCUGAGAUCAUUGCACUCCAUGAAGCAAGUAGAGAAUGUGUAUGGCUAAGAUCAAUAAGCCGACACAUCUGUUCAAGCAGUGGGAUUGACGAAAAUACGGAGCCAACUAUUCUAUAUGAAGAUAACGCGGCAUGUGUUGCUCAAACGAAGGAAGGAUAUAUCAAAAGGGAUAGAACCAAACAUAUACCUCUGAAUUUCUUCUCAUACACACAAGAGCUCGAGAAGAAUAAAAAGAUCGAAGUAAAAUAUGUUCGAUCAUGCGACAAUGUAGCUGACCUCUUCACAAAAUCACUCCCUACCUCGGUAUUCAGAAAACACAUCCAUAACAUUGGAAUGCGUCAUCAGAAGGAUUUAUGAUCGCUUAUUCGAGGGGGAGCUUACGUGGUUGUACUCUUUUUACCUUACUAUGGUUUUUCCCAUUGGAUUUUACAAGAAAGGUUUUUAACGAGGCAACAAAGACGUUAAGCGAGAAUGGAUAGUGACACCGGUCCCCAAGGGGGAGUGUUACGAAAGCAGCCACCGCAAUUGUUGAAAAUAAAAAGAUGUGGGGCCCGCUGCAUUAUUUGCACAGUAAAUCCUACUUUUUAAUUUCUAUAUAAACGAUCGAUUCGAUCGUUUAUAAGACACACCUCAACUUCUCUUCUCACUUCUAAUAAAUACUCUCUAUCAGUGUUAUUAUUUCUACGGGUAUAAAUUUUGCCUUUAUUUAAAUUCUCGCGAUACAAUAAAAUUCCAGUUCUUUUUAUAACAUAAAUAAAUAAAUGGUAGAACAAUGGACUUUUUUUAAUAUCGGAAUUUUUGUGUGUGUUUAAGAGGGUGAAAACGAAACGAACGUCAUGGUUGUCACGAAAAUGAAAGCAGGCCCCGUAGGGAAGGUGUGGGAUUAAAAAACAACUAUGCUAAGACCUGCGCAAACAUUAUAUAUAUAAAUUAUUUUAUAUGUUUAUGACAUAUUAUGAAAUAAUAAAUAUAUAUUGAAUAAUUAAAAAGUCAUUAUCUACUAUUUAUAUAAUUAAAUUGGUGCGAACAUAUAAAUAAAUUUUAUAAAUCGAAAAAAUGUUUCUUCUAUUUGAUAUAAUAUAUAAUUAAAUUUAAAUGAUAGUAACAUAUAUAUAUGGUAUAUUUUAAUAUUAAUAUUUAUUAGAUGAUGCUUUUUGCUCAUAUUUUUUUAUCAUGUGUAUCUGUUAUAGCAAAAAAAAACUAAAUUAGUGAUAACAAAAAUUUAAAUGUGAGAUUAAUGGUUUAAGUAAUUUAUAAUAUUUAAAAAAUUAAGUUGUCAAUAUUUUUUCAAAUUUUUUUAUCAAAAAACUGUUCAAAGUAAAUUUCAAAAUUAAAAUCUUUAUGUAUUUUUAUAUGGCAUAUAGUUUAAUUUAAAAUGAUACAUAUAUUUAUAUAUUUUUUAUUUUUGAGACUUAUUAAAUGAGACUUUCAACUUAUAUUAUUUUUUUAUUAUUUGUAUCAUGUCAUAACAAAAGUUUUAAAUCAUAGAUCACAAAAUUUGAAUGUGAAACUUUUAACAGUUUUAGUAAUUUAUACUCGUUUUUAAAAAUUCAAAAUAUAAUAUAUAAAUAAUUUUUUUAAUUUUUAUUAUAUGGUUAUUAUGAUUAUUUAAUUUCUUUUAAUAGCUUAAAAUUAAACAAAUAUAAUUAUAAUACACACUUAUUUUUAUCAAAUCUUUAUUAUUCAAAAUCAUUAAUUACCAUAUAUACUUUAGUUACAUUAGGCAAUUCCGUAAUCUUAUUUAAGGAAAUAAUGAAGCACAUUAAUAAUGUAUUUAUUGUGGUUUAAUAAAAAACUUAUUAUAUAUUUAGAUGAAACAAUCUAUUUUUCUAAGGAUUCUAAGAAUCAUUAUAGAGAUGACACGUGGCUACAAAAAAAUGUUGCAAUGCUUCUCGAAUAAUAUAUAGGGGAUAAUAAACAUGGCUCCACAUUCCACCGUUUGAUUCCAUACCACAAUUAAACAAAAAAGAAGUACCUGAAGUUGAAGACUAUUUUUGACCGGAGGAUCUAAUAUUGUUUCUCCGUCCUUCCGGCAGAGAAAACUGAAAUUGAAACAACGAUCUGACUAUUCGAAGAUAAAAUAGUUAAAUGGGAUGGGAGUCACAGAUCAAACGAGAGGUUGAUAGUAUCAGUGGCAUACUUUUUUUUAAAAAAAAGUUAUAAAUAAAAAAACAUAAUUACAAAAUUAGAAGGUGUUUCUUUUUGUCUUGCGAGAGAGGGAAUUCGAAAUUUGGCACUACUUGUUUUCUCAAAUGCCAUUCAAGUUUCGCUAUAAUUACGAAAAUACCCAGUUAUAAUGAUCUCUCGUCGAUGUUUUGGGCCAAGGGACGUAUUUGGCUCAGUAUCCACUCAUCCAGCUUAGGGAUGUUACCCUCCCACGUGGUAUACAUAUAUAAUGGCUUGACCUCCAAGUUACACUAAUUUUGUUUUGCGAGACUUGAGCGUUAAUAAUGAGUUUGACAAAUAUAGAAAUGUAUUUGUUCUUUUUAGGUCUACUAUUAUUUCAACCAUCAUUAGUAAAACAAAUUUUGUAAAAAUGUUUUUUAAGGGUAGGUGUAUAAAUUUCCUAUUACCUGAUUUUAACUGCUGCUUGUGCAUUCCUUAACUAGCUAGCAUGUGUAUUAAUAAUAAUCAGAGCCUUGUCCUCCACCGAACUUUUCUUUAUACUGUUGCAAUUCCCGUGAUCAUAACAAAAGCAAUUUCCGUGAUCAUAACAAAAGAUUGUGUCCCAUAUUUUCUAAACCGGAAAAACGCAACCCAAAGGUUUUAUACAAAAAAAGAACGAAAACAGUAACAGAAUGGGUUUGUUUUUUUUGCUAACACACAAUAACAAGAUUAUUGCUAAAUCAUAAAGGAUGAGUGGCGAUGUACAGAGAACUAAGAAAGCAUACAAAACACAAACUCACAGAUUUGUUAUAAUUCUAGUUAAUCGUACUCCUCCUCAGAAGUAGCAAGCUUCUGCUUCUUCCAUUUGUAAGCAGCUUCAAGAAUCUUGAGGUUCGUUGUCUGUGAUUCUUCUGGAUAUAGAUAGUCAAUGUACUCUUCAUACCUGCCAAUGACCAACAAAAGAUAAUCAUUAGGCUUACCAUCCGAUUAUCACAUACGAGUAUCACAUUCUCGAGAAAUAUAUAUGCAAGCAAAACGUACUCUGUAGAGCCAUCUUCUCUUGUGAUCGGCUUUCUCUUCUUGAGCUUCUUCGGGAGCUUAGAUUGUACAACACUCACGUCCCCGAGAUUACCAAAGUUAGUCCCUUCAAAGUUUUCAGUGAGGUUCACUUCUUUAGCUUUGCUUUUCUUGGACUCUUGAUAUAACUUACAGAGAUGUGGAGGAGUACGACAGGUACGGGACCAAUGUCCUUUACAUCCACAUCUGUAACACACUGUCCCACGCUUCUGGGUGGUAUCCUCUUGAGUUUCUUUACCCUUAGAAACUUGUUCGGAUCUAACCCACUUGUUAGAUCCCUUCCAUUUGGGAUUGUAAGUUUUUUCACGUUUAUUAUUGAAACGGCGACCAUAACCUCGAUUGGACUGGUUCCUUCUUUCUGAAUUUUCUACCGCCGUAGCAUUCACUUCAGGGAAUGCUUUGGCUCCCGUAGGUCGGGAAUUGUGGUUUUUGAUUAAGAGCUCAUUGUUCUUUUCAGCUAACAUGAGCGCNNNNNNNNNNNNNNNNNNNNNNNNNNNNNNNNNNNNNNNNNNNNNNNNNNNNNNNNNNNNNNNNNNNNNNNNNNNNNNNNNNNNNNNNNNNNNNNNNNNNNNNNNNNNNNNNNNNNNNNNNNNNNNNNNNNNNNNNNNNNNNNNNNNNNNNNNNNNNNNNNNNNNNNNNNNNNNNNNNNNNNNNNNNNNNNNNNNNNNNNNNNNNNNNNNNNNNNNNNNNNNNNNNNNNNNNNNNNNNNNNNNNNNNNNNNNNNNNNNNNNNNNNNNNNNNNNNNNNNNNNNNNNNNNNNNNNNNNNNNNNNNNNNNNNNNNNNNNNNNNNNNNNNNNNNNNNNNNNNNNNNNNNNNNNNNNNNNNNNNNNNNNNNNNNNNNNNNNNNNNNNNNNNNNNNNNNNNNNNNNNNNNNNNNNNNNNNNNNNNNNNNNNNNNNNNNNNNNNNNNNNNNNNNNNNNNNNNNNNNNNNNNNNNNNNNNNNNNNNNNNNNNNNNNNNNNNNNNNNNNNNNNNNNNNNNNNNNNNNNNNNNNNNNNNNNNNNNNNNNNNNNNNNNNNNNNNNNNNNNNNNNNNNNNNNNNNNNNNNNNNNNNNNNNNNNNNNNNNNNNNNNNNNNNNNNNNNNNNNNNNNNNNNNNNNNNNNNNNNNNNNNNNNNNNNNNNNNNNNNNNNNNNNNNNNNNNNNNNNNNNNNNNNUUGUAAGUAGAAACAUGGACAACUUAGACCACGUGAUUAUGUUCUUUAUCUCACGAUUUUACUUCUCACAAGACUCAUCUAUAUUCCACUGGUUUAAUCAUAGGGCGUCUUUAUUUAUUGGCCAAAUACGCCUCUCUUCUUUAAAUUAUUUAACCCCACAUUUCCAUUUCAGUCUAAUCUGAUCUAUGAGUGUACACUCUUAUAUUGAUGAUCCUCGCUUAUAUUCAUAUGUUCAAGUGCUACCUUUUAUGUGCUUCCUUAUAUCAUCUUAUGUCGACAUUCUUUAUAUGUUCCAUUACAUUCCAGACAUAACAUAAUUCAAAUUGAAGAACGAUCGUGCUGAUAACGUGUUAUAAAAAGAACUGGAAUUUUAUUGUACCGCAGGAAUUUAAAUAAGAGCAAAAUUUNNNNNNNNNNNNNNNNNNNNNNNNNNNNNNNNNNNNNNNNNNNNNNNNNNNNNNNNNNNNNNNNNNNNNNNNNNNNNNNNNNNNNNNNNNNNNNNNNNNNNNNNNNNNNNNNNNNNNNNNNNNNNNNNNNNNNNNNNNNNNNNNNNNNNNNNNNNNNNNNNNNNNNNNNNNNNNNNNNNNNNNNNNNNNNNNNNNNNNNNNNNNNNNNNNNNNNNNNNNNNNNNNNNNNNNNNNNNNNNNNNNNNNNNNNNNNNNNNNNNNNNNNNNNNNNNNNNNNNNNNNNNNNNNNNNNNNNNNNNNNNNNNNNNNNNNNNNNNNNNNNNGAUGAGUUCUAUGUUCAAUAGGUGAAAGUAGUAGUGGAAGUCUUGUAAUGUCAAGUAAAGAAACCUCGAAAACCGAGUGGAUUCCGGUAAUGGACCAAUACUUCAUCAGCCUUAUGCUUGAUCAAAUCGGAAGAGGUAACAAGACUGGCAAUGCUUUCAGUAAACAAGCCUGGACAGAUAUGUUAGCUUUGUUCAAUUCUAGGUUCAGUGGUCAGUAUGGGAAAAGAGUCUUAAGGCAUAGGUACAACAAGUUGUCUAAAUACCACAAAGACAUGGGAGCUAUCUUGAAACAAGACGGAUUUUCGUGGGACGAAACUCUGCAGAUGAUAGCUGCAGAUGAUGCCGUUUGGAACUCUUACAUCAAGGUUUGAAAUUCUCAAGUCUUAUAAUGAAUAUUUUGAUCUGAAAUUGGCACUUAUGAUGUUUGAUGAAAGCAGGAGUAUCCACUUGGUAGAACAUAUAGGAUGAGGUCAUUACCGAGCUACAACGACUUGGAAUUAAUAUUUGCUAAUCAAGUCCAAGGCAAAGAUGAUGCUGUGCCAGAUGAGACUAACGCGAGCCAGCCUCAGAGUUCUGAUCGUACAAGGACGUUUUGGACUCCGCCGAUGGACAACUAUCUGAUCGAUUUGUUAUAUGACCAAGUGAAUAAAGGGAACAGAGUUGGGCAGACUUUCAUCACAAGUGCUUGGAACGAAAUGAUUACAUCAUUUAAUACCAAAUUCGAGUCUCAACACGGCAAGGACGUUCUGAAGAACCGGUACAAACACUUGAGGAGGUUGUACAACGACAUAAGGUUUCUUCUCGAGCAAGACGGGUUCUCAUGGGAUGCAAGGAGAGAUAUGGUUGUUGCAGAUGAUAGCGUUUGGUAUCCAUAUAUAAAGGUAUGCAACAUUCUUUCCCCUUUUUAAGAUAAAAAGUUAUAUAUAUAUAUAUAGUUGUGUCGUGGUAUGAUUAAAUGAAACGUGUGCAGGGACAUCCAGAAGCUCGACCAUAUAGAGUCAAAACUAUUCCAAUUUACCCAAAUCUUUGCUUUAUUUUUGGUAAGCAAAUGUCUGAUGGGAGAUACACACGCUUGGCUCAAGCUUUUGAUCCCACUCCGGCAGAAACUGUGCGCAUAAUCGGUAAGCUUCUCUUUAUUUUUGAAUACCAUGAGUUUCUGGGCCGUAAUCCCCAGGCCCGACACAUCAUAUAAUAUUAGUUUCGUCCAAGCGGUCACUCGAACGGGGGACUUCUGACACAAUGGUCAGGAUCCUUUCGAGUUGAGCUAACUAUUUUUUUUUUAUCCCAUUGUUAUCUACUUUUGAUUCAUUAAGCUUUGUAUGUGAGACUACUGCUACUGGAGAAGUGUUUCUUUGUCUUCUUAUUUAUAUGAAUCCUGGGCAGAAAGUGAAAGCGAAGAUGGAUUCAAGGAAACUUUCCAGAUGGUGGUGCAUGCUGCCGGUGAAGAGAAAGAUGAUUACCUCUGUAGCAGCAGUGGUCCUUCUCCUGUAGAAUGGACAGCGGUCAUGGACCGUUGUCUUAUUGAUCUUAUGCUUGAGCAGGUCAAUAGAGGAAACAAAGUUGGUGAGACCUUCACAGAGCAAGCUUGGGCGGAGAUGGCAGAAUCCUUCAAUGCAAAGUUCGGAUUGCAGGCUGACAUGUUUACUCUGGAGAAUCGUUACAUAUUGAUGAUGAAAGAGCGUGACGACGUCAACAACAUCCUUAAUCUUGAUGGCUUUGUUUGGGAUGGAGAGAAGCAAAUCAUAGUUGCUGAAGAUGAACAUUGGGAAGCUUAUAUAAAGGUAAGGAGGCUAAUCUAAUGAAACACCAUAGUGAUGUUUUCCUUACAAGGUGUGUCUGAAUUUUGGCAGGAACAUCCAGAUGCAACUAUAUAUAAAGGUAAAACCUUGGAGAGUUAUGGUGAUUUGUGCAAGCUAUAUGAACAUCUCUCACACGAAGGCUUCAACUGUGAGAAUCUUAUGAUCGAGUUGGAUAACUAUGGCCAUGAGAUUGAUAUGGUCGAUGACUUUAGUUCUUCUACUCACAAGCAGCAUUGUAAGCGAACCAACCCAAUUCCAAAUCCGGGGAUAGAUUCACGUAAGGCUCAGAAGACGGGAGUGGAGAUGAUGAGGAAGCCUCUAAGUGAGGCAGAAGGUGAAGGCGAGGAUAAAUUCACAAGAAUACAGAACGCCGUUGAUGCACUACAAGCUUUACCAGACAUGGAUGAUGAGCUUCUACUGGAUGCUUGUGAUCUUUUAGAAGAUGAGAAGAGAGCAAAGACGUUCUUGGCUUUGGACGUCUCUUUAAGAAGGAAAUGGCUAGUGAGGAAGCUCCGUCCUCCUUCGUCUAACGUCUAACGUUUAAGCAGUGUGUGUGUCUCUCUAUUUCUACUCAAAUUUGUAAGCACAGCAGAAUAGUUUAUGUAAUGUUGUAAAAGUAUGUGGUGAUCUUAGAUACAUGAUCAAAAGCAAGAGUUUAGGUUAUCUAACUUGCAUUGUUCACUCGUCAAUGAUGCAAGAAAUGAAUAGCUCAAGGCAUUGAUAUUUAUGAAAGUCCCAUCUGGCCAUCUUUAAACAACAUAACAAACAAUCAUUAACUAGACCAUAUCGAAUUCAAACCGAAGAUUAUGCAAUCAAAACUGAAUAAACCAAAAUUUGCACUAUUCCAAAAACUGGUCCAAUGGUUAAACUUUCAAUUGUUAACGAGGAUAAGAUCUACGGCUUGCGCAUGAUGAGUUUAUUUGUAUAUAUUAUCAACAAUUUUUUUAAUAUAUUUGAUCAUUUUAUACUUCAUUUGUGUCAGAAUCACCGCUGUUCCAUUAUACAUAUACAAUGUUUUUUGUUGUUAUUAUAUAAUUUUUUUCGAUGGACCGGAUCAAUUUUUAUUAAAAAUUGUGGAACUAAAUUAUAAUUAAUAUAUCAUGGGUUGAUCGGAUUGGACAUAAAACAAAUUAUGACACAAAAACCUUAUUUUUUUCCACCGAAGACAUUUUGAAAAAAGUAAACAGUACUGUUUCCACAGUUGAAUUAUUUUGACAUUUAUCUUCUAUAUGGUUUAUAAAGGUUUCCGAUCAACCAUCGAAUUGAUACAUGUCAUUUUAAUGCUUUUAGUCGUAUGCUUAAAGAAAACUUACAUUUUUGUAAUUUAAAGUCAUUUAAAAGAAACCAAAAUAUAACAUAUAAGAAAAAAAUCUAACAUAUAAGAAAAAUAUAACAUAUAAGGUUUCCUCAUUUUUGUAAUUUAAGUCGUUUUAAAAAAAACAAAAAUAUAACAUAUAAGGUUUCUCCAUUUUUGUAAUUUAAAGUCAUUUUAAAAAAUUCAAAGUAUAACAUAUAAGAAAAAAUCUAUUUUUUUAUUAUAUGAUUAAAGUGAUUGUUUAAUUUUUUUAAUAAUAUAAAAUUAAACAAAAAUGAAGAAGAAUGCAAAAAUUGUUAUCAAAUCUUUAUUAUUCGUAGUCAUUAAUUGCCAUAUAUAUGUUAAUCACAUUAGGUAAUUUUGUAGCUUUUAUUUAAAGAACAAAUGUACGCUUCUUAUAUUUUGGGUUGAUAUAAUGCUCAAUAGUAAUUGGAUUUAGACCAACAUUUUUUUUAAUUGAUUCUUAAGAUGCCACGUAAGCUAAAUUGACAUCCUAAUUAAAUGACACCUAAGUAAGGUUUUUUUUUAAUUAGUACAAUCUUAAGGUUACAAUUUUUUAAAUGAUGUUCAAUUAACAUAUAAGGGAUUCUAAGCCAAUGGCUAAACUUCAAUACUUACAAUCCAAUUCAAUGGCCUAAAUGUCAUCAUUAUUCUAGAAAAUCAGACAAUACAUUAUUAUUUUAUCUUUGAAGUUAUUCACAGAUAUCUUCUUUUCUACUACGUUCAAACUUCAUUUUCCAGAAACUCCCUCUUUGACAAUAAACUCUUUAAUUCACUACCUUCAUCAAUAAAUAUUUCUCUCUCUGAAAUUCAAAGCACAUAUUUAGAAACACUUCCAUGUGUACAAGUACAAGUUCGAUAUCAGUGGUGGUUACUCUCAAAAUAUAAAGAAAUGUAUUUAUGUUACAAUGCAAUAGAUAUUUACUGUUUCUGUUAACCUUUUAAGUAGCUCACAAUAUUCACUUCUCAGAAGAAUAAAAUCUGAUGCUUCUAUAGCUUCAGAGACUGCCUUAAAUCGGCUUCAAGGAAACAAAAUAUAUAAUGAAGUCAAAUCGUUGAUCAUGGAUAAACGAUUAUGACUUUUGAAAAUUGAGAUUAUCUAGUAACUAGUUACAGAGAUCAAGCUUCUAAUAUCAAACUGACAAGUAUUAUUAAAACGAUUAACAAUCUUAUUCUUAUUAUUAUUUAUAGAUAAAUAAGAACACCUUUAUAAGUGUUGUUUUUUUAUUUCUAAUUAUUUAUAACUCCAUUAUUUUGCCACUUCUCUUUGUAAAUAAAACAAUUUGGUUCACACAAAAUAUAAUACAAUGAUAUAUCAAAAAUACCAAAAGUAAAUUACUUUAUUCGAUGUUGUAGUAAAAUCAUUUAGAAAAUCCAUUAUCUAACCAUAUUAAAUAAAAUAGGCAAUGUUCUAUAAGAACAGAAACUACCAUGGUUUAUGGUUAUAAACCAAAUAACCUGAAACUCUAGAUAUCCAAACCAAGCAAAUGAAAUUAGAUAUGAUUUUAAUCUGGUAUAUAAAUUUUGUAAACCAAAUGUUUUGGAAAAAUUAACUGAAAAACCAUAUAGAGACUUUAACUCAACAUGACUAGGUGACAUUUAUAGCUCACAGGGACAACACCAAGUUUCUUCCAAAUAUUUGUGUUUAUAUCAUACUAGGAGAAUGUCCGCGCUUCGCGCGGAAUAUUGUUUUAUUGUUGUUAAAUAUUAUUUUUCGGAUGAUAUAGCUAGCUAAUUAUGUGAUCGUCUUUAUUUGCUAAGAACAUUAUUUGGUAUUUUUAUUAUGUUAUGUAGUAAUAUGUGAUAUGCUAACAUAUUAUGUGUUUGUUUUUUUAAUAGUGUGUUGGUGUGGGUAUAAUAGUACCUUAUUAGUGGUGAAGUGAGUUUGUGAUGUAAUGCAUAUUGAAUUUCAAUAAUUUUACAUUUAGGCAUUUGUUGAAUUUAAGGCUAAUAGUUUCAGGGUAAAAAUUAAUAUUUUUUCUAAUUAUUUGAACAUUACUUUUUAAAGAUGUUUUGUGUUCUCUCCCUAUAUUUUUACAUUGAGCCGUCACCAUCUAUUCAUUUUGUUUAUCUUUCCGUUAUGUUGUGAUUCUCGCCAUCACCGAAAAAGACUCACAUAUGUGCUCUUGUUUUUUCUCACCUUUUUCUCCUCUUUUUCCUUAGAUUUCGGUUCAUGUUAGGAACUGAAUCUCUUUGGGUUGGGCCAGAGUUUAGUCGUCUUUGAAGUUUUUUUCCUCGUCGUUGGCUUACCAUCGAUAGUCCCUUCUCGCCUUAGUUUUCAAGAUAUGGUUUUUGGUGAUCUGACUUCUAUAGCUCGAGGACGGCUCCGCGAUUGAAUGAUUUCGUUUUGUCUACCCUUCCAUCUAUGUUCCCUCAUCUCGUUGCAACUUUCAUGGCUGCUUGCGUCUCUGUGACUCUCCAUUUCGCCAUGUUUGCCACUCCAUAUUUGGAUAGUGUUCUCCUCCGAAUAUGCUCUGUAGAUUUGGAAGAUUGUUUCUGGUCUCAAGUCUGGGCUCUGGUUUCUCGGGGGUUGGCUUCCGUUCUCCCUCACUCAGGUUGUUCUCUUCUUCCCUUGCUUCCCUUAGUAUAAGUGUGUAGUAUUAGUCUCUUGGAGUUUUGGUCUCUUCUAUCCAGAGUUUUAUGGUUCUUCACUUGCAUAGACGUCUUGUUUGUGCUUGUUUAGUUUGUGAGGUGAUUUUUACCUCUUAGCUGGUGGUUUUCCUUAUCGUUCGUUAUGUAUGUUUCUUCGUGCUUCGUGGUGAUUUUAGCCUUCUGUUGAUUAUUUUUCCUCUAACCCGCUUUCUUGGUUCUUUGCAUUGGUCUUUGAUCACGCUCCUUUGUGUUCAAGCGAUUGUUUUAUCUCAAGAUUAUCUUUCUACAUUUUUCUGACUUUUGAUUGUUCUGGCCAAGACACUCAAUGAUAAAGUGGGGUAAGUUAAUUUUCGUUCUUGAUCACCUUUGAGCUCUGGACCUUUAUUGAGUUAGUGUUACUUUGGUAUUUUUUUCUCUAUGAUUAUGGAGGUUUUAUGUCUAGAUUAUGUGUUUUGCUUUAGUUUGGUUAAUAUUAAGAUAAAUAUAUAGUUGUAAAUGAAAUAAUAUAAAAUAGUAAAAAAUAAUAAAAUAGUGAAAGUUUAUGUUAUGUUUAGCAGUGAAUAAAUUAAAUAUUAAAAUACAUUUAUUUUUUUUCUUAUUUCUUUAUUCGUUUUGCAAUUUUUUGAACAAUAAAAUAGAUUAUCAAACUUCAAAUGAUGAUAGUUAGUGUGAGAAGGAUUAUAUAGUGCAUAAUUAGAAAAUAAUGAACCAAAUUGCAAUAGUCUAAAAGAAGAAGGAUCUAAAAUGUAAAAAAACAAAAAACAAAAAAAGAUGACAUAUGUCAACAAACUCCCCUUCCACAUGUCAUAAGAAAAGAGAAAAGUCUACUUUAUAUAUAUAGAUAGAUACCCGAAGCUCGUCAAAGAUGUUUCUAACAAGUAUAGAUUGUCAUCAACCACAGCAAUAAGGCGCGGAGAUUGGGAAGGCUCAAUGAAUGUCAUGUAUUUUAGCAUGUCAGGUAUAAACUCCCAAGAAUUUGUCGCCUCAUCAUAACUUUCUCCACAAGUAAGGUGUUUAUCAUUAUCAUCUCGGCCGCUGAGGACGUAGAAUUUCCACACAAGAAACAUCCUGAGUUGAACUUCCUUGCUUUAUGCAUUCCAUGAAUCAUCAUCCACCUUUUUGUAUCAGCAUUAUACUUUUCUACAGUUUACACAACAACAGGGGUCCCAUUUUCAUCCAUUUUAAUUAGUGAUUGUUUGAAGUUUUUGACUAAGUUUUUGUUAAUUUUUUGAGAAUAUUAUUAGGUUUUCAAAAAAAUGUUUUGAAUACUUUUUGGCUUUCAAUUAAAUUAGUUAUUUUAUUUCAUUGCAAUUUUUUUUAAAAAAAAUAUGUAUGCUUUAUUAAAGAACAAGAAAUAACAAAGUUGAUACCUGCGAAAUAAAAUGGUUCCAUUUUAAAUUAAAAGAUAACUUUCAUUCUAUAAUGAAAGUCCAGUUUGUAUAUUUUCUUCGAUCAAAAUCUAUUUGUGUAUAUAACACAUUAAAUUUAUAAAUCGAAAGUCAAUUAUUAAUUUAACACCCUAUGACUAACCUGAUUCGAACCAAACUGUAUUUGGUUACUCUAAGAAUAUAAAGAAAUGAAUUUAUGUUACAAUGCAGCAGAUAUUUUAUUGUUUCUCCGAUACCUUUUAAGUAGCGUACAAUGUUCACUUCUCAGAAGAAAAAUUUGUGCUCCUAUAGCUUCAGAGAUUCUUUAAAUCGGCUUCAAGGAAAUAAAAUAUUGCGAACUCAAAUCGUUGAUCUUGGAUAAACGAUAAAGAGUUUUGAAAUUGGAUGAUCUAAUAAAUAAUUACAGAUAUCAAGCCGCUAAUAUCGAACUGACAUGUAAUAAUAUUAAGAAAUAACAACCUUUUCCUUAUUAUUAUAUUGAUCUUGGAUAAACGAUAAAGAGUUUUGAAAUUGGGAUUAUCUAAUAAAAAGUUACAUAGAUCAAGCAGCUGAUAUCGAACUGACAUGUAAUUUAAAAAAAAUAACAACCUUAUUCUUAUUAUUAUAUUUGUAGAUAAAUAAGUACAUAUUUAUAAAUGUUGCUCUUUUAUUUCUAACUAUUUACAACUCCAUUAUUUUUCCGCACCUCUGUGUAAAUAAUAAAUAUUGGGUUCACAGAAAAUACAGUAAAAUGGCUCUUUUAUUUCUAACUAUUUACAACUCCAUUAUUUUUCAGCACCUCUGUGUAAAUAAUAAAUAUUGGGUUCACAAAAAAUACGAUAAAAUGAUAUAUUAAAAUUACCAAAAAUAAAUUAGUUUAUUCUCUGUUUUAGUAAAAUCUUAUAGAAAACCCAUGUAGAUAAAUAAGCUCUUAUAGAAAAUCCAUUAUGUAACCAUAUAAAAUAAAAUAGGGAUUUUAAAUAAAAAUAGAUACAACCAUGGUUUAUGGAUGAAAGCCAAAUGACCUUAAAAACUCUAGUUAUCCGAACUAAAAAAAUAAAUUAAGAUACGAUUUUAAUGUGAUAUAAUCGAUUUUUAUGUGUUAUAACUUUUACAAACCUAAAAUUUUGGAAAAUAAACUGAAACCAGAUAGCGAUUUUAACUGAACAUGACUAAGUGACAUUUAUGGCUGAAGAGGGAAAAAAAAAACCAAAAUAAAUAAAUAACCAUUACAUAGACAACAUUAGUAUUUUUUUUCACAAACAUAAGCACAAGCAAACGAAAAACAACAACAUUUUUAUCCCAAAUGAAAAACAAAAAAAAAAUCAGAAAACACAAACCAAACAGCUUAAAACCAAAUGCAACAACUUUAAGCACAAAUGCAAAAACAAAUAAGUUUCCAAGUUUUCCUUGGAAAAAACUUUAAGCAAACAUCACACAGCAGUUAUGAAUAAACUGUGGGAGCUCAGCACCAACACACCAAUGUUUUAUUUCUUCCCAGUGCUGCUCUUCCACGUCUGGAGAAGGACGGCACGAGUGAACUACUGUCUUCCUAUGCCAAGAGUGAGAAGUUCCAAUCACCAGAAGUCUGUCUCCCGUCGAUUUAAACGCAAUCCCCCAACCGAAGGCAGCGUUUGCACUCACAGGGACAACACCAAGUUUCUUCCAAAUAUUUGCGUUUAUAUCAUAUACCCGUAGCUCGUUCAAAGAUGUUUCUAACAUGUAUAGAUUGUCAUCAACCACAGCAAUAAGGGGCGGAGAUUGGGAAUCCGCAAUGACUUUCAUGUCUUUUAGCAUGUCAGGUAUCAACUCCCAAGAAUUUGUCGUCUCAUCAUAACUUUCUCCACAAGUGAGGUGUUUAUCAUUAUCAUCUCGGCCACCGAGGACGUAAAAUUUUCCACGCAAGAAACAUCCUGAGCUGAACUUCCUUGCUUUAUGCAUUCCAUUAAUCAUAGUCCACCUUUUUGUAUCAGCAUUAUACUUUUCUACAGUUUGCACAACAACAGGGUUCCCAUUUUCAUCCAUUUUAAUGCCUCCUGCAAAAAAUGCGGUUUUACCAUGGCUCGCAGAACCGUACAUGGCCCUCGGUGUGAUCAUUGAAGGACCUUUGAACCACUUAUGAUUCUCUAGCUCAUAGCGAAACACCACAAUUCCAUCUAUUUCUCUCCCUAUGACAAUUAGUUGAGUACCCACACUAACUGUUUCCUUAUCGCUGUGGAAAAAGCAAUAGUCAGAAGAAGGAACUUUAGGAAGUCUCCGAAAGGUUUUAAAAUCCUUAUCAAACAUUUCCCAAUUAGAGACAGCCCCUGAAUGCAAAAUCACAUAAGGUUUCACAAGUCCCCUUUCUUGUCUCACCCUGAAAAUUUCACAGCUCUUUAAUAACUGCAAGAAUUUCUUGUUAAGAAACUGUAGUUUCCAGUAUUCAAAGCAUGGUAGACGAGCAAUGAUCUCGACCUUAAGCUCUUACAACAGCUUAUGAUCAACAUAACAGGCAUCAUGAGUUUUUAAACCUGCAAGAUUUUGAAAUUCUUUUGCAAUUUCUCAUUUUUCUUCCUCGUCGGAAUCAGAACAAGGUUUCACAUUCAAGUCAGGUAUGUCAGGUUUAAUGCCAACCAUUGAAAUCUUCCUUGGUUCAGAUUGGGUCAAGCUUGCCCCAACUUUAGGAGCCUGAUCUUCUCUUAGCAUUAGCACAUCUCGAUUUAUUUUAGCCAUCUCUUUUGACAUCAAUUCCUGUAAAUUCCAAAAUAAUACAAUGAAUAACAGCAUUCAAUUCCAAGAAUCUAACAUAAUUUUUUUUACUACAUAUAAUUACAAACAAUUUUAAGUAUUUGAACUGCCAAAAUUUAUUUAAAGAAACAAUAAGGAGAUUCUGUUAUAUAAACUGGGAAAUCAAAGAGAAUCAAAAAUUGCAUUAACUAAUAUAAACUCAAAAAUUGCAAGCAAAUAAUUAAUUAAUGCUUCUACAUAAUUUAAUGUUUUGAAAAUUUAAUAUUUCAAGAGAUUAAGAAAAAAUAUUUCCUUAGUCUAUACAAUAAUGUGAGCCACUAGAAAAAUGUAAUUUAAAUUUAUGCAACACGACGGAAAUGGACAAGCACUGGUCUAAAACAUAUAAUUACAGGCCUUUUACGAUUAUAAUUUUUCUAUUUAAAGAACUUUCAAAAUAUCAAAUUGGGAAUAUGUAUUAUUUCUUAUAAGUAAAUCAAUAUAAUUUCAAGCCUAAGCAUAUUAUGACAAAGAUUAAUAUAUUCAGUGAUAGUGAUGCAAUAUAAAAAUCUGAUUUGUAAUAAUAUCACUAGUAUAUUUAUCAGAAAAUUUGCAUGUGUACCUUAAAAACUGAUAGAAAUUCUUUAUUGAAUGCUCUCUUGAAUCCCAGUUAUAUUUAGUUAGUUGAAAAGAUGCAUAAGAAAUCUUGACUAAGUUACUCAGAUAUAUAUAGCAUAUGUGUUUUGAAUUUUAGCUCUACCAUAAAUAUAAUGCUUUGUUUAAUUUUCUUACCAUAUUAAUACAAUAUCCUUAUUCAACCUUCUACCAUAAAUACAAGUAAUAAAUUAUCUGGAAAUUUUGACUAAACUUUUAUGAGUUUAUUUAAAUCUUUACCAUACAAGAUAAGACUACUAAUUAGUGAUUGUUUGCAGUUUUUACUAAGUUUUUGUUAAUUGUUUUAGAAUAUUUAUUAGGUUUUCAAAGAAAUGUUUUGAAUACUUUUUGGCUUUCAAUUAAAUUAAUUAUUUUAUUUCAUUGCAAUUUUUUUUUAAAUGUAUGCAUUAUUAAAGAACAAUAAAAAACAAAGUUGAUACUUGCGAAAUAAAAUGGUUCCAUUUUAAAUUAAAAGAUUACUUUCCAUCUAUAAUGAAAGUCUAUUUUGUAUAUUUUCUUCGAUCAAAGUCUAUUUGUGUAUAUAACAUAUUAAAUUUAUAAAUCGAAAGCCGAGUAUUAAUUUAAUACCUAUGAUUAACCUGAUUCAAACCAAACUGUAUUUGGUUACUCUGAGAAUAUAAAUAAUUGAAUUUAUGUUACAAUGCAACGGAUAUUUAUUGUUUCUCCGAUAUCUUUUAAGUAGCUUACAAUGUUCACUUCUCAGAAGAAAAAUUUGAUGCUCCUAUAGCUUCAGAGAGUUCUUUAAAUCUGCUUCAAGGAAAUAAAAUAUUGCGAACUCAAAUCAUUGAUCUUGGAUAAACGAUAAAGAGUUUUGAAAUUGGAUGAUCUAAUAAAUAAUUACAGAUAUCAAGCCGCUAAUAUCGAACUGACAUGUAAUAAUAUUAAGAAAUAACAACCUUUUCCUUAUUAUUAUAUGUAGAUAAAUAAGCACAUAUUUAGAAAUGUUGCUCUUGUAGAUAAAUAAGCACCUUUUCCUUAUUAUUAUAUGUAGAUAAAUAAGCACAUAUUUAUAAAUGUUGCUCUUUUAUUUCUAACUAUUUACAACUCCAUUAUUUUUCAGCACCUCUGUGUAAAUAAUAAAUAUUGGGUUCACAAAAAAUACGAUAAAAUGAUAUAUUAAAAUUACCAAAAAUAAAUUAGUUUAUUCUCUGUUUUAGUAAAAUCUUAUAGAAAACCCAUUAUGUAACAAUAUAAAAUAAAAUAGGGAUUUUUUAAAUAAAAAUAAAUAAAACCAUGGUUUAUGGUUAAAAGCCAAAUGACCUUAAAAACUCUAGUUAUCCGAACUAAAAAAAUAAAUUAAGAUACGAUUUUAAUGUGAUAUAAUUUUUACAAACCUAAAAUUUUGGAAAAUAAACUGAAACCAGAUAGCGAUUUUAACUGAACAUGACUAAGUGACAUUUAUGGCUGAAGAGGGAAAAAAAAAACCAAAAUAAAUAAAUAACCAUUACAUAGACAACAUUAGUAUUUUUUUUCACAAACAUAAGCACAAGCAAACGAAAAACAACAACAUUUUUAUCCCAAAUGAAAAACAAAAAAAAAAUCAGAAAACACAAACCAAACAGACGAAAUACAACAACAUUUUUAUCCCAAAUGAAAAACAAAAAAAUCAGAAAAACACAAACCAAACAAUUUAAAACCAAAUGCAACAACUUUAAGCAAAACCAAAUCAGUUUCCAAGUUUUCCUUUGAAAAAACUUUAAGCAAACAUCACACAACAGUUAUGAAUAAACUGUGGGAGCUCAGCACCAACACACCAAUGUUUUAUUUCUUCCCAGUGCUGCUCUUCCACGUCUGGAGAAGGACGGCACGAGUGAACUACUGUCUUCCUAUGCCAAGAGUGAGAAGUUCCAAUCACCAGAAGUCUGUCUCCCGUCGAUUUAAACGCAAUCCCCCAGCCGAAGGCAGCGUUUGCGCUCACAGGGACAACACCAAGUUUCUUCCAAAUAUUUGCCUUUACAUCAUAUACCCGUAGCUCGUUCAAAGAUGUUUCUAAUAUGUAUAGAUUGUCAUCAACCACCGCAAUAGGGGUGAUUGUCAUCAACCACAGCAAUAAGGGGCGGAGAUUGGGAAUGCGCAAUGACUGUCAUGUCUUUUAGCAUGUCAGGUAUCAACUCCCAAGAAUUUGUCGUCUCAUCAUAACUUUCUCCACAAGUGAGGUGUUUAGCAUUAUCAUCUCGGCCACCGAGGACGUAAAAUUUUCCACGCAAGAAACAUCCUGAGCUGAACUUCCUUGCUUUAUGCAUUCCAUUAAUAAUAGUCAACCUUUUUGUAUCAGCAUUAUACUUUUCUACAGUUUGCACAACAAUAGGUUCCCAUUUUCAUCCAUUUUAAUGCCUCCUGCAAAAAAUGCG